UUUUUUUUUUUUUUUUUUUGUGUGUGUGUGUGUGUGGGGGGGGGGGGGGGGGGGGGGGCAGUUAGCAUGCUCCCCUGAAACUCUGUAAGGUGCAUUUUUUGUGCCUUUGCUGUAGUUAGGGAAGCAGGGCUGUAGGGUUGCUUGCAAGUGCUCCUGCAUCACUUAGAAUCAACUUUCGUUCUUAAAGCAAUGAAAUAGUAGACUAGGGUAUUAUAUACUUAUGUCCUUUCUUCCUCGUCCAGGAGGAGUAUGUUGAUGGAGACAAUCUUGGGAGACUGGACUGCGGGCACGACUUCCAUGUUGGCUGCAUCAAGCAAUGGCUGGUGCUGAAGAAUGUGUGCCCCAUCUGCAAAAGCACCGCGCUGAAGACCUGAAACUGAACCGAGGCUCGUCAGAGGACACCCAUGUUCUAUGUUCAUUCGAUCGCAAGAUCAUUUACCGAUUCAUAUUGCUGUGCUUUUUGGUUGGGAAAUUUUGCCACUCACCUUCGAUUGGGAAAGGAAUUUUUUUUAAAAAAAGGAGAGAAAUGGUCCCUGUAAACUGCUGGUGCAGUAAAUAAUCCCUGGAAUAUGUCUCCCUGCAUUUAACCAAAUAUUUAUGGCUGGUAUAAUGGAUGUCGUAGGUUUAAAAACUUCAAACGAUUGCAUGCUGCCGCCCUCGUGCCAUAAUUUUGCUUGAUCUGGAUUUCACGUGCUGGCGCAGCGAAGAACCUCAUGAUGCCUGCCUUUUUUUUUCUUCCAUGGAGGAUGGUGCUUGCAUUCAGAGUUCCAGAGUCAACUUGUUUGAGAACUCAACAAACAAGGCACGGCGCCGUGCUGAGUUUUCCAGGCACUAUUGCUGUGCUGGCCUUGGAUGGAUCCCCCAUGCUUUCGUUGCCCCUGCACUUGUUCCUUGUCGGCGACAGGCGCCUUGCCGCGAGAGCCCGGCACGAACGCAACUCCUCGGCGGCUGGCUCGGCGCCGUCGCUGUCCACCCAUGAUCCAUCCACCCAUCCAGAGGGGGGAGUCGCUGGUCUUCUCGUCCGGUGGCUAAGUGUUAGGGGCUCCCGUUGUGGCCACACACACGGCGCCAUCCCUGAUGGGUACCCGCCGCGCCCGACGCCGCACAACUGGAUGCAGCGCGUCCGCCUCGGCGUGACGGCUAGGCUCAGGGUUGAGUCGCUGUAUUCUCACCUGCAGGGCAACGUCUCCGUUCGUCCCGACUCGUCACGUCUCCCUGCAACGUGUGCUAGGUUUUGGUGAGGCUUGUGCUAGUUACUUUGGAGCUGCAGGAUUCCGAAGCUUCUAGAUCUUUCUGGAUGCAUCCAGAGCUCUGAAACCUACGGCUGAUCCGUUGUGUUUCUGAAGACUUGAAGUUCAUUCGUAUGGCUGGGAAGGUUAGAUGGGCUACGUUUGCUGCGGGCUGGGCUUUAGUUUCCUUUGUGAUGACACAAACAGGCCCAUCUCUCUUCAGGAAAGCGUCUGACGAGUGACGAUAGAAAUUGGCCGGAGCAAGACGGCGGCGGAUUUUGUGUGCGGCUGACGGUGCGUGCGCCCGAAAUGAGGUUGACGGAAGGCGGAAACAAUUGCUUCGUUGACACGAUGACUUGCUGGUUUCGUGGGUGGCGUGUUGGGUGUGAUUGGGAGGCUGCCAAAGUGGCCGAAAAGGGGGAGCCGGUGGCCACAAACGGCAGCUGCAAAUCGCCUUCCGGCAAUUUCCCUUUUCAUUCGCGCAAUUGCAAGAACAGCUAGGCUGGUCGUCUCAUCUGGAAGAGGGGGGAGCUCGACCUGGACGGCUAUGGGGAAAAAAUCUGAAAGAGGAACGUAUCCAAAGGAGAAUUGAGAUUUCAUACUUAGGACUAGUGGAAAUACUCGACGAAAAAUGAAAUUUGUGUCAAGAUUCUAGUACACAAAUGUCACGCAAAAAGAUAGGCUCCAUGCUUCAAUUGCUGCACCCUGCAAAGAGUCAGAAUUUCGAUGUCCGUCCAGGUUGUGUUUGAGUGUUCAGUGUUGUGUAGUGCAUGAUGGGCAGAGGCGGCCCGGCCCUACCUGAGAGGCUGAGAGAGUAGUACAUGAUGGGCAGUUCACUGUCCCUCCGACACUAUCUAUGAGAAGUAGCAGAGCCGUGGGGAACACACGCCGGCAGAUCUCAAAUGAAAACCGCCUCGCUGUCCUCUCUGCUCCUCCGGUCCAUGUUUGCAUUACUUGCCGCAUGUGCCCAUCUGAUCAGUUGCGCUCGCCUUCGCCGCCGCCGCCCAGGCCCAUGAAAAUCACGCCCGCGCGCACGACGGGUGCCACCGGGGCAGCUCAGACUUGAGAUCGAUCAGAGCCUCCGUCCACCUCCAGGGCGCACGGCGAGACGCUCUGCGGCCGCGGGAUCUACGGCCGGCACGGCUGCCACCCUGACUGAACUGAACCAUGGCCAGGGGGUGCUGGGGCGGCGGGGCCGGGUCGAUGCCCAUGAACGCCGACGGCUCUCGGUGGCGGUCGGGGGGCGUCGGCUUCGUCGUUGAGCUACAGAGGAAGUUGGUGGUAUACUUGUCAUGCACAAGGCGGCGAUCCAUCACGCAAGAUGACGCGCGGCUCCCUUCCGCUUCCGUCGCCUUCCCUUUCGAAUGUGGUGGCCUAACCCCCACCCAACCCGACCCGACGCGACGCCAUCGGGAUCACCCAUGCAACGCAAGCAUCGUUAGCACCGGCACUGUCGCCCCGCCCUAAUCCUCCACUACCUGAUCACCAACUCACCCUCACGAUUAAUUAGCGACCAGUACUGCUAGUAGUAGAUAAGCUAGACCAUCCGUAAGCAUGGCUUGUUCAUCCACCCGUGACCGGUCCAUGAUUGCUUCCACCGGCACCGGAACAAACGAAGCCACGAAGAAGCGCGGGGAGAGGUUUCCGGAGUGCGGCGGGGUUGGCGGCCGGCGGGGGCGGCCUGACCUAACGCGGAUUUGCGCACCAACCGACAACUAAUAACCGGAGAGUAGAUAAUAAACAAGCAAAGGGCGGGCGGACGCGGGCGAGCGAACAACUGGAUCACGUCAAGCGGUAAAGGAUUAAGAAAAAGGCAAGCACACACAGGGGGAUCGGAGGCGAGGCCCGAUUCGAUUUGAUUAACCAAACGUACUAGUGGGAGGUGCUUGCUAAUCGCUGCUGCUUAUCUACUCGGAAACGAGAGAGAGAGAGAAGGAUGAUGACUUGUUUUUCUUAUCGCUGUUACAGCUGUCCUUUUUGACAUUUGGAAAGACCGCCACUUGUGGCCGCCGUCUCCGCCCUCCCCACGCCGCCCAAGCCCGGCCCAGCCAGCUGCCCCCCCUCCCUCGUGCUUAUCCACAACGUACCGAUCGAAAACCCUUCGCCCCGCCGCCCGCCCGCCCGCCCGCCGACCAGGACGAGGACGGAGACGGAUGGACGGGUUGGCUGGGAGGUAGGCGCGCGGGAUCAUACGCGGAGACGGAGACCGUUGGCGCCGUCGAGGGAGUGGAUGAUGAAUAACGUCGUCGUCGAGUGAGUCUUGGCGGUGGCCGCCGCUGGCUGCUCGCUCGCUCGCCUGCCUGCUGCUUCACUCGGCGUCGGAGCUCUCGGGGCUCGGCGCCCGGUUGAGAUCCGGGUUCUUGGCGCGCCCGCUCCACGCCGCCCGCUGCUGCUGCUGCUGCUUCUGCUCCUGCUGCUGGCGGUGCUCCUCCUCGUCGGCGUGCAGUUGCAGCUGCGGGAGGUGGUGGCCGUGGUGGUGGUGGUGGUGCCUCUGGCGCUCGCGGUGGUGCGGCGGCGCGACCAUCAUGCCGGUCUGCAGCGCGUCCACGCGCGACCCCACCUCGAUGGCCUUCUUCCGGAUCGACGCCGCGGACAGCGUGCCGCCGUCGGGGUCGCCGCCGCGCGCGGGCUCCCCGCCGCCCUCCGCCAUCGCCAGCGCGGGGAUCUCGUCGGGGAAGUUGAGCCGCGCCGACCGACCGCGCAGGUAGAACACGGCCGUGUCGUAGGCGCGCGCCGCCGCCACGGGCGUGGCGUAGGAGCCCAGCCAGAUGCGCGUGCGCUUGUGCGGCUCCCGGAUCUCCGCCACCCACUUGCCCCACUUGCGCAUGCGCACGCCGCGGUACUGCCGCCGGGGCUGCAUCUGCUGGUGCGGCGCCGGCGCCUGCGCGGCCGCCAUCGCCGCCGCCUGCUCCUCCAUCUUCACCGCGGCUGCCGCGGCCGCCGCCAACGGAGCCAUGGCUGCUGCUGCUGCAGCAGCAGCUGCAGCCGCCGCCGACUCCUCGCUGGAAGACCGGUACUCGCCCUGCAUGAGCUUAUCAGCUAGCUAGCCGCCGCCCUCUCUCCUCUCUUCUUUCUCUCUCUCUCUCCUCCUGCUGGGCUGUUGUGCAGCAGGAGUGGUAUCGGUAGCUGCUUUUGGCGCUGGCCGGCGUGGUUUUCUUCUCUUCCCUCCCGGGCUAUCUAUUUGCUGGGUGGUAUUUGUAUUGGGAUUUUGUGGGUGGAGGGGGGUAUGAUAUGAUUAGAGUUUGGUUGGGAUAAUCAUAAAAUAGCGCGGGGCGGAAGCGGGCGGGCGUCGACGGCAGCACUGUACUGUGCUGUUUGGAAGGGAGCCCCCCUCGCCACCGGCACGCAAAUUGUUAGGUCCACCGGCUAGCUUGCAUCCGGACGUCGGACAGGUCGAUGCCAUGCCACGCUAUCCGGAAUGGACGACAACUGUGCGAGCAAUUUUAUGCUGCCGCUAUACAAGUACUAGGUGCGUUAGCAGAAAUAAUUUGUAAUACAUGCUACUGUUGCGCAGCCAGCAUCAAAAUUAUUGCUUCGUGAUGCUCUACCUCUUUUUAUAAUUUUUUUUUCAUGAAAAAAAUCUAUGAUCAACAAUGAAUUCGCUUAUUCCGAGUUUAUUUAUACACAUAUAGUUGUCUUCUACUGAGAUCUUCACAAGAAGGAUAUGCCAUUUCGUAAUUUUUCUCUUCUACAGCUCUAUCACGCUCCUCCUCAAUCGUGCUUCCUGAUGAAUCGAAACGCUAACAAUGGAGCUUUUUUUUCGCAUGCAGUAACCCAAUGAGGUUUUACACGAUUUGGCAGUAAUGAAUCUCUCGUUUCUUAGUGCCGAUGGCACCAUGCCGUUCGACUUCACCUUGUGCCGUAGCUCAACGUCUAGUAAAGAAUUGUUUUGCAGCUGAAAAUAAUGUGAGCCUUCUUUGUGUUGACCUUCUCAUUUAUUGCAAAAAAGGAAAAGAGAAAAGGCGACAUUAAUACUUAAUUAUGUCCAUUAAAAAUACUUUAAAUGUCUGCACAAUGUCAAUUUUUAAUUCAAUAUUGGUUGCAAAAAAACAAAUAGAAUGAAUUCAAUAAUGUAGGAUUUGCCUCUACAUGAUAUUAGGUGAGGUAUUUCAAGUCUCUUCUGAAUCAUAGAAAUCCUACAAGAAAUCUCGAUAAAUUCAAUCCAUGAGGACAGAGAAGAGGCUUACGUGUUGCACACAUUCUUUACUUGCAUCAUCAUUGGAGUACGCAAAUGAUGCAACAAUUGUAAGGAGUCAAGAUAAUGCCACGGAAAAAUAAUCCGUGGAUCAUGAGCCUCUUGUUGUCACAAUCCACCCUUCCUUUCUUCAUCACCAACCCUCGUGCACACCUGUCGCCACAUCGUAACCCGGUUGACCUCGCGCAAGACUAGCUAGAGCUAGCCACCUCCCACCGGCUACCUGUAAAAACUCAAUUCAACCACUUGCCAUGGAAGUUUUUCACCCCCAUUGAAAAAUGCGUGGCGAUAUUUUCAUCUCGGCUUACUACGGGCUUAUCACGAGAGUAUCCGGAACCGUCAGUUCAUAUACUAACCCGAUGCUCUUUCGUAGUGUGAAACUUUGGUUUGAAGCUAUGUCGUCUCGGCAGCCAAUACUUUAUGCGCUAAUAGCAACAUGACAGCCCCGAUAAUUGCUUCUUUUAGGUGGACAGGGCAGCCGCCGCCGGCCCGCCGCUCGCGUGCAUAAUUGCUGCUGUUGCUGGGGAAUAGCUGGCCGGCGGCCGGGCUUUCCUGCCCUAGAAUCCACAACCAAAUCAUGCAAAAUCUAAGCGCGGGAGCAAGCGAGCUGGACCGACCGGCCGGCGGGCACGCACGUACCGAACCUGCCCUCGAGACGUCAAGGCAGCGCCAGUACGCGGCGUGGUCCCGCGGAGAUUCGAGUUUGUCGCGCGAGCCGGCCGGGUAGAGGGGUACGCCGUACGCGGCCAUCAGGGCCAGGGCCAGACGGUGCAGGCGCGGCUCGUCGUCGUCGGCAGGGGCAGGUACGUGCAGGUGGACGCACGUUGCUAGCAAGAGGGCACCGUACGCGCGCGGCUGUGUGGUGGAUAGGAUGCGUGGGCGCGCGAGGGAGGCCGGUGGUGGCGCGGACACCGGGCAGUGGGGUUCGUUCGUUCCAGGGCUCCAGGCAUCCAGCGGCGGCAGCAGCAGCAGCAGCACAGGGACGGCCAACACGACGUGUCGCUUGCAUGCGCGCGGCCGGCCGGGAGGCAUGGGCGGAUCAAAAGGAGGGAGGGGCUGGACCACGCGCACGAGGCUCGAGCUCGAUAGGUGGACAAUAACGUUGUACACUCCUGCUACUACGUGCUGUAGCCUAGGCAGCCAGUAGGUGCCAUAGGCUAUAGCUCGAUCUCCAAUUCUCCAUCGCGCGAGCUAGCUUCGCUAGUGUAUAGUGCGGUGCAUCGGGCCGGCUAGCUAGCUGAUCGUUGUGGCAAUAGCGGUAGUGCACCAAAAGGCACCUCGUCUGUUCAGGUCGAGGCGAGAAAAGGUAGCGGGCACCAUGCGUGAAAGGGGCUUUUCCGUUGCGGGUUUGCCGCGGCGGACUCCAGCAGCACGCGCGGAAUAAUGGACAGCUCUGCAGCUGCUGGCUUCUGAUUUCCCGGGGGAGCAUCUAGCGUGGAACCCAGAAAUAUUCCCCUGACGCGUUGCUCUACAAGGGUUGUGCCAAAAAGGAAAAGGUGCACCGGCGCAGUUUUUGCGACGAGAUGGGCAAGUAUGAUGCGUGGCACCGUCAAGGGAUGUUCUCUGCCGACGUUCCGUGGGAAAGAAGAAGGAAAAAAAAAUGAAACGAUGGUACACUGAUGUCAAACGCGGACACUGUGAGUGUGACAGAGCGCCGCUGUACUAGACCUUGUACAAGGACAAAUGGAUGGGAUAAUGAUUAAUCGUACGUGCCGGUACUUGCGGUGGAGAUUACGAGUGGACAGGGGGAAAGGGAAGCCAAUCACUCGGAUCAUAUCAUAUCAGUUAUCAGUGGGUGGGGGGAUCAGCUAUCCUCGAGGACGCCGCACUUGACUAAGGUCCCGUUUGGAUCUCUUAGGGAUUAUGGCAAUCCUGAUAGUAGACCCUGAUUAUAAGGGCAUGUUUGGUUAUCAUGGACUAAAUUUUAGUCCACCCACUUUGGCUCCUUUUAUUAGUCCCUAAAGUGCCAAAUAGGUGGACUAAAGGGUUUAGUUCUUUAGUCUAAGGAGGGUGGAUUAAACUGGACUAAAAGGUCGGACACCCUGCCCUCAUUUAUUGCCUCCCUCCCGCCUACCGUCAUCGCCGCCGGCCUCCCUCCCGCCCAGCCCUCGCCGCUGUCACCCCGCCACCCUCUUGAUGGAGAGGAGGGGCCGCGGCUCAGCCUGCUUGGACGGGAUGAGCGCCCGUGGCGCACCCAUGACGCCGAGAAGGAGGCGGAGGUCGGACCAGCAGAAGGAGGCGCUCGAUCCGCCGGGGCCGGCGGCAGCGGAUGCCAUGGACGGUGUGCGGGUCAGGUGGCUGCGCACCUAGUUCCCGAACCCCUCUCAGUGGCCGGAGUCCUCGGCAUCGAGGUCACCGGCGGCGAGGCGCUCGGCAUCAGGCCCCUCAAUGAGCGGCGACAGCGCCUUCCCGUCAGGUCGCAGACUGCCAGAGCGCGCGACGAGCUGCUCCCCCGAGGUACUGCUGCAGUACCUUCUCCGACGGCGGCUGCCGCUGACUUGCGCCGCCGCGGGAUCAUCAUCCUGGCCAGCGACGCGAUCCGUGGCGGCGCCGGAACCUUGCCCCUCGACCUCGCCGACUACAGCCCCCGCACCACCUCCUCUUUCAGCGCCGCGAAGAACCCCUGCCUCCGCUCCUUUAGUCGAGUGAGAAGAUGGUGAGCAGGGAGUUUCCAUUUUCAAAAUAAGGGUAGUAUCAUCUUUGUUCAUCUGCAUUAAUGGACUUUAGUCCAUAGAUCCAAACAUGGUAGACUUUAAUCUAUGGACUAAAUGAACCAAACAGGGGCUAAGAAUCCGGAUUCUAAAUAGUAAUAAUCUAGUUUGUUUGGAUUCUAGUAUCAUGAUCCGGCUAGGGAUUGGUUGAAAAGCUCAAUUGUCCGUAAUGCCCUUAGUUUGAUUGAGAAUCUUAGUUUGAUUGAGAAUAAGAAUUGAAAUAGGAGUAAAGUUGUCAUUUCCCAACCUAUUAUAUCCAAUAGCUAUAAUCUCCAAUAGCUAGGUUGGAGGAGAUAGUGGUAUUAUUAGAAUCUAGAUGGGUAGAUUCUUAUAAUCCAUCCUAGAAUCCAACCUGUUUGGAUCCAUUUGGAUCCAUUAGUGAUUAUUUUAGCCGGAUUAUAUAAUUCCUAAGAUCCAAACGGAACUUAAAUUUCACGACCGGCAGGAUCAGCAGAUGGAGGGCCAGCAUCGUCGGCAUUAAAAACUGACGGGGGCACACGUCCUGACGUCGCGCGCGAGCCGUGCGCCAGGGCCGAUCGAGUCGGUAGCCAGUACUCCUUCCUCUGUACUUGCUGCAGCAACGGGUCAUCGCGUGCGUUGGCUUUGCGGUUCGGUCUCGGGUCUCCAGAGAAGAGAGAGGAGACAGGAGAGGAUAGCUAAACGCCUAAACUAAACGAAAACGAGACGCGGGCACCUGUGGAGGCGCCGUACGUUUGGUGCACGUACUAAUUUGGCCAACGAUCCCCAACUAACCGCCCCCGUUCCGUUCGGUCCUGCCGUGCGUCGGCUAGGAGGCGCACCGGCAGCGCCGACAUGAGGUGGGCGGGUCCAGGUGGCGUCGGAGGUGAUGCGCGCCGACGUGGACGUGGCCCCCUCGUCCACGGAAUCCCCCCCACCCACCCCCCGUGGCCAUGGCCCAUCCAUCCUCUCCCAUAUCCGGACACGGGACGUCAAUUUGCUUGCCAGCGACGGCAUCGGCCGCCCAUUAUCUAGCCCUAAUCAUUCACGCUAAUGACGUCCGCGGCGAGGUUAGCGUAGCCAGAGCCCCCGGGUGGCCAGGCUAAUCGCGUCGCGUCCCAUCCAUCUCUUUCCCCCCGGCCGCAGCGUACGCAUCUCCUCCCUGCUGCGACGGCACGGCGCUGACGCGUGGACCACGCUGCGGCGUAGGGGCCAGGUGUCUGCGUGGUCGCGUUAUUGCCCGGUCGGUGGGGGCGCCGGAUUGGAACGGAACGGACCUGGGGUGGAGGUCGGUGCGGCGGCCGGGCGGGCGGCCAAACGUGUUGAGCCGGCAUAGGGUGUGGGGGACAUCCCCGUCUCCUCCGUCCACGAUCGCGCCGCGGCGUAGGUCGCCGCUGGCCGGGGGCGUCGAGUAGGAGUUGGGGGCGCGGGCGUGUGCAGGUAGGUGCGUGCCCCAACCGAUUUCAAAGACUUGCGAGGACUGGAGGAGGAGCAGGCAGAGCAGGCUAGUGGGAGUUCUGUUAGGAAAUCGCGCAGCGGCCGCAACGACCCGCACAGUCCAUCAAUGAUGUCGGUGGCGUCCACGCAUUUACACGGCCCGCGUUUUCGGCUGGCGCCGGCGCUACCCGAGCUGGCGUCACGCCCUGCCCAGCCGGCCGGAGCCGGAAGGGGGGUCGUCGAGUCAGGUCGUCGUACAACAACUUCCCUGUAGACCGACCGAGUUCGAAGCGCAUCGAGAUCCAUCCAAGCAUUAUGCUUCGGUCACCUGAUUAAGAUUAACCUGGUCCCGGUACGGGGUAACUGCCUUCAUCUGUUUGGACGCUCAUGCUCCUGUAGUCCUGUAUCUGUAUCUGGGUGUACGCCGCGGCUCUGCCCCGCCCGCGUUGAAUUCGAAUCAAUGCGGUGGUCGGAGGAGGAGAUGAGAGGGGGGCUCCCUCUGCCUGCCGUGGCAGGCGUGCGAUGUGAAUGUGUGAUGCCCGUGCGACAGGGGGUCGGUCGGUGCGCCAAUCAAUAUGGACGCGCGGCGGCCGGCGUCGAGCUGUAUAUUCCGAAUGUACCAGCACCGAUCGCAGAUACUAGUACCACUACCUAACCGGGAUCCAGUGGCGCCGCGCCCGACCGUGGCCAAGCAGGCCACCCGCCCGCCUGCCCUGACGACGGCGGAUCAAGCGCCGGCACGGGCGGAUGAGCACCGAGGUCGUCGUCGGCCGGAGCAUGCGAAAAGAUGGGUGCCGAGAGCGACGGGUGGUAGGGCACGCCGUAGUCCGUACAGUACAAGCAAUAGAACGGCAAUCAUGCCGGGCGUAUCUUCAUGAUCUGGGCAUUGGUAGUAUCUCUGGGAGCAGUCGGAGGAGGUCGGAGAAGGAGGGUGAGGUGAGAGCGCACGCAGCAAGCGCCGAGGCGGGGCUCGCAACAGCGACGGGCGGGCAGUGGGGAGGUGGAGGCUGUUGCUGUCUUAUCUGUCCGCGGCGCCCCCCAAUAAACAAUGCCAGCCAGCCAGCCAGCCGCGCCCGGGGUGGAGUAACGAGGAAUACAACGAGCCGCUCGCCUCACUUGUUGCUUUAAAAAUCAGGCUAACCAAGGGGGAAAAAAAAAUACUAUACCACGGAACGGAAUCAUUUGGCCAUUGCUCACACGGUUAUAUACUAUACCAUGGAACGGAGUAGCACAGUAGCAGGAGUAUCAAUAAACGGAACGGGGGCGUGGGAGCGAGAUGGGGUGGUGGCGGGGGGCCGGGGACAGAGUGGAUAAUGCUCGUGCUCUGGAAUUCCACCACUGCCGACUCCGCCGGCAGUUGGACGGUUCCAGCGUGCCGGUCGGAUUAAACAAACGCCCGCGAGGCCGCAAGUGGCCUGCGGCGGCCGGGGCCGGUGCGUGUGCGUGGUGGUGCGCCGGCCCUGCUGGCCCCGCCCCCCGCUUGGCGCGUGCGCGCGCUGCCGCCCUAGUGGCCUAGUGCCGCCUCGCUAUCCGGCGCCAGUGUUCAUUCCGAUCGAUUCCCGCCGAGGCCGCCGGCCUGCACGCGCCGGUCGCUAGCUGCCGCCAAGCGGAACCGGCGCCGACAAGGAACGGGACGGCACCGAGGGGACCACGACCACGCGCGAUUCCGGAGGAGGAUCCCCUUCGUUCUUGGACCCGUUUUUGAUUUGGGGCAACGCCGGCCGGGGGUCCCUAACCUAACCCUACGUUCUGCUGCCUACCUGCCUGGAGGGGAGGGCAUGCUAAAAUCUAGGGCCCCGUACAUGCAUGCCGUUUGUGACCAAGAAGGUGAAGUGGUCAGGAAAUGCGGCAUCUGCUGGGGUGUUUUUCAGUUGGGACUAACGGCCAGCUCGGUGGAUUGGAUCGAGCGGAGCGUGCCCUCAUGCAGCCGAGUGGAGCCACGCCGCAUGCAUGUGACGCCGGCAGCCGAAGCGCAGGAUGCCCCCCUCCAAACGGGGCCAGGUCCGAUGGUGUGACGGUCGACCACACCUGACAACUUGUUCUUCUUUUUGGGGCUAAUGAUUGCUCACUUGCUUGGAAAGGAGGAAACCCACUCCGCCCAGCGACGCUGUGCCUGCCUCUGCUUGCCAACAUGGCCUCACCCAAAGAAAAGAGAGACGCCGCCCGCUCGCGAGCAAAUUGACCCCGCGCGCUAGCUCUCCCUAUCAUAUCAUCACUCGUGCCGGUCGUGGACGUUGGAAAGCGGCACCGCCACCGAGCCGGGCCGCGCGGCGCGGAGGACGACACCCAGGACCACGGCACCCCAGACCAACGAGCAGGCCGCGGCAAUCGGGCAGCUCUUUUCCCUGCUGGCGUCUCUCUUUCCAGCCAGCCUCGGCAGCUACGUUACGUGCCUGCGCUUAAUGCGUGCGUCUUUCUUGUGGACACAGCAAGCUUGCUUGCCAGGUUCGGAAGGGCGCCGGCAGAUUGCCAUGCACGCGUAUCCUGCUUGCUUGCUUCUUCUCUUUUGAUUUGAUUCCUGCAGGGAGCUAGCAUGCAUCUGCUGUUUAAUCUGGUGUUCCUAGGCUCCUAGCUCUUUUAUUGUGCGUAACCUGGCCUACCAUGGCAUCAUGAUCCGCAUUCUGGGUCAAUUCAAUCAGCAACUGCAGUUGGUACAGUGCAGGUUAAAGGACCAUCAUCGAGUGCCUCUCGUCUAAUGCAAACAACGCUCUGCUGCAUCUUGACUUCUAGAGGUCUGCUCUGCUGCACAUGCAACGUAGCACAGCAGGAGGAGCGCGAAAGCAAAGGAAACAAAAUACGGUGGCGAGAAACAAAAUGAUGAGCCGUGCCCAAUGUUGGCCCAUGGGCAGUUACUGAAGUCAGUGCAUUGCUAACUUUCCUAACAGGCCGUGAUAAUUGGGCCCCGCAUCUCGUACAUAGGGAGGGAACGGCAUACGUAUUGCCGGCCUAUGUUCCUGUGGCCCAGUAUCUGUUCCGCUUCAGGCCCAUCAAUCAUAUUGUUGCGUUUUACAGUACAUCCCAGCCUACUACCUACUGGACUACAGCAUCGAUUACUUAGUUCCAUUUCUUUGACUGAAACAUCCAAUCAGUAGUUGGUCAAUGCACCAGAGACCAGACAGACCAGACUCACAAGUAGCUCUCGGCCGGUCAGAGCAUGAUCAGUUCUCUCUAUGGUCCAAUAAUGCAAGUGUCCAACCCCCUACAAGUUACAGUGUUGCCAAACUAUUCCAAAUUCCCAACACCUUGCCGACCACUCGUGCACAAAGUGCAAGCCUACAUUCCUCUUUCGCUCCUCCUGUGCAGGUGAUGCCGCAAUGGGCAGCGAGACUACCGACUGGUGGAGACGACAACGACAACGCCAUUACCGGCCGGGUGGCUCACCUCCUGUCCCCCCUCCCAGUCCCAGCUAGACGGGACGGGACGUCUCGGCCAGCCAUGAGUGCACGCAUAUAUAGCUGGUAACAUGAGCUAAUAGUGCGUGGUUGCCAGUUCUAGCUCGGUCCAGUCCAUUCAAAGCUACCCUCCCUAAUGGGGGAGGCCACUGCCAUCAGAUCUCAUGUGGGCUCUAGCCUCUAGCUAUUGGACAAGGGCCGGACAGAAAGCAGAGAAUCUACCGUUGGCAGUAAGGAUACAAUUGGACUGAACUUUAAUCCCAUCAGAUCCUCAUCCUGACAUCCUAGUGCCAUGUGUGCUUGCUUCAGAACAUAGACUAAGCAUGUAUAUUAUUCUGUACAAGUACAACGGAACAGUUUGAUCCUCAGAGGUAGGGAUUGUCAAGAUAGGAAUAGGAUCACGCAUGGCGUUCGCUCUGAAUAUCUGAUCAAAGCAGAGAUUCACUUGCAUGUGGGUGUUUCGUAGGAGAUCACGUUAAGCGUGCUUUUAGGUUGAAGCUCUUAACAAGAUAAGAAGAUCAAAGUUGCCGGCGACGAGGUGCGUAUGCCGUGCAUAGUUUAUGGCUGAGGCUCUUGUCUUCUCGUGCCAAAUGCGCCACCCCGUGAGGCGUGAGCUCACUACUGACAGCCCAUCCGAUCCUUGAGUAUAACAAACUACUCCCAACGACGAGCUGAGACUUCAACAACGGGAGAGCACUGAACUGUAAGGUUGAUAGUUCCGAGGAGCUAGCUGAGCUAGGCUAGUCUAGCUGUACGAUGUUGCUAUUUGUGGAUACCAUGUGCCAGCACACAGUGCAGCCAAGAACACUGAAUACUGAGCUAUCGUCAGACAGCAUUGUAGGAAGGGAACAAAGCCAAGCAGCAAGUGGGACUAGCACUACGCUGCUGGUCUAGAUGCCAUAUGAUGUUAUUGGAAGUUGGACCAUGGAUUCUGACCAAUACGGCAAUACUUAAAGCAUUCAAUACCAAUACGCAAUACUAUUUUCUUUUUCUUUUUCUUUUACUUCUGCUACUACUAGCAGGAUGGCACGAACGGAACGAGCAACAUCAUUUUUGCCUGUUUUUACAGCGAGACAUUCCUCUCGUUUUUCAUUUCAGAAGUUGGCCAUCGCGUUCCAGGACCGUAUUUUGAUGCAACGAGACCAUUAACGUUCAUAUGGAGCAUGGUGGUCCUCCGUUACCGAGCCGAGAGUCCCCGCCGCGCCGUGUAUGGUAAAAGUAGAAGUAACAGUCAACAGUGCAGCAGGCCUACAAAGUAUGUUGUAUAGUGUUACGUGACGACGGUACAAACACAGCCUACUUCUACUGGCCGAAUACUGAUCCAAUGAUCCACUUAACACGCCAAGCUGCACUGCGGAUCGAUGCCAAUAUGCCAUCAGUUGCUAUCUCGCUCUCACGACGCACACGCUACGUACUAAUGUACUAUACGCUAGCGGCUAGCUCACAUCACUCGUCACUGUACUGUACCCGAUCCGCUCUUGUGGUAUACUAAACAUGGCGCAUGGACUUAUUUGACUGCAGCUAGGUAUUAAGAGUGCUACACUAUUUGCACUUUCAAAUCGGAUCUAAUGGCGCACGUAAAAGCCACUGUUCACCAUAACUUUCGAUUUUUCUAGUACAGACACUAUAUACAUCGUGCAGCAGGUUUUGAUCAACCUCGCUCCGUAGCAUUACGCGAAGCGGGAUUCUGCUGGGGAUCAUGCAAAGCCCCCACGGCUGCCAUUCAUGUUUAUGAACCUCCACUGUGUCCCAAGAUACUCCCCAGAGCUACAAUAAUGAACUUCUCCAGGCCGAGAAAGUCCGUUCCAUGUGACGAGCGUGCCUGAACUCUGAUCUGAAGUCCACGACGUAACACAUGUUUUCCGUGGAUCGCGAGACGGCAGCUUCUCAGUCUACAGGUCAGUAGCCUGCUUCGAUCGAUUCCAUGUGUCUGCUCAAAAACAUUUAGGUGGUGUUUGGAUCCAAAGUUGAUGGGUUAAAAUUUAGUCCUUGUGGGGUGUUUGGAUCCAAGAGCUAAAAGGUAGUCUUCCUUGAGCUAAUGACUGAUUUGCCCUCAUUUAUUGAUCAUGUCUCAAAUUCAUUUUUAUUGACUCCAUGCACAUGCACAUGCACAUGCACAUGCACGCCCAAGCCUCUACUUCCUCCGGCCAUGCACAGGCACAUGCACAUGCACGCCCAGGCCUCUACUUCCUCCGGCUAUGCACAGGCGCCGGCCAUGCACAGGCGCUGGCCAGGAACAGGCGCCGGCCAGGAGGAACACGCUGUUGUUCCUCCUGGACAUUGAAUAGUUUUUAUUCGUACAAUUACAUCAUCGUUCAAACAUACAAUUCAAAUACUCUACGAUCAAAUACAAGAAAAAAAUACUCUACGAUCUAUUAUACAAACUUGAGGCUAUUUGAUCACGGAAUGCAUUCAUAUUUGUAUCUUCGUCCCUUGAUUGAGUAUUUUGUGUUGGCGGUUGAUAGGUUGAUGCUUCAUGAGGAACAUAGUUCUCAUCACGGUCACAACGAUCAAAGUCCUCAUCCUCCAUAUGACUCUCUCUAAUAAAGUUAUGAAGUGCCAUACAUGCAACAAUUAUCUGACUUUGCUUCGGCAUUGGAUAACUUGGCACUUUCAACAAAAUCCUCCACUUCAUCUUAAGAACUCCAAAUGACCUCUCGACACAGUUCCUAAGAGAUGAAUGAGCGAAGUUAAAGGUCUCUUUCAUACCUUUGGGCAUCGGCCCCUCCCUAAACUCUGUAAGAUGGUACUUCGUUCCCAUGUAAGGUGCAAGAUAACCAGGCCGAUUGGGGUAUCCAGAAUCCACUAGGUAAAACUUCCCUGCAAAUACAAACAUUAUUGUUACAAACAAAAGCUAUAACCAAAGUGGCAUAUGUACUGAAUGUGCAAAAACUUCUGGCAUAACAUACCAGGAGGGGGAUGUGGGAACUUGUCUUUGUAUUUGACUCUUGCAUCAUUGAAAACUCUCAUGUCAUGUACUGAACCAGGCCAGCCCGCAAGAACAAAUGUGAACCUCAAAUCAAAGUCACAGACCGCAAGCACAUUCUGUGUAGUGAAGCCCUUUCGACAAAGAUGUUGCACCACCUUGUUAUUUGGCACGACAACUGGUAUAUGAGUGCCAUCUAUUGCUCCUAUACAAUUGUUGAAGUGUGGAGAGAAUCUAGGAUUCUGUAACCUACGGUGCAUUGUUCUAAAUUCAGGGUCAACCGGCUUAAUUAUGUCAGCUGCUAACUUGAUGAUACACUUCAAAACUUUGUCAAAAUUGCGGUGAACUAUAUCUAAUGAUCUCUCUAAUCUGUUCUCAGCUUGUCUGACUGACUGAGGUGCACCAACCAUCUAAAGAAGCAUUCCUAAGGCCUCUACUGAAGAGCUCUUUGAUGUGGACUUUAGGCCAUAAGAAUGCACCAAUAGACCAUGAAAACGAUCAAACAAUUCUCUACUCAUUCUAAACAUGUUAUAGCAUUGCACACUAUCUGUUAGAUUUCUCAUCACCCAAUCAUGGCCACUUUCAACCAUCUUUCUCUUCUUAGCUUUAUUGAAGUAGGUGUCAUUGUACAUACCAAAUAGAAGUAGAUCCUCCGUGAAUUGCCUCUCAUAUUCAAUGUCCUCCUCAGUAAUAAGCCUUAAAACUUCAUCGUCACUUGCAUCACUGUCCACAUCCAUAUCCUGAGACAUAAUACAACAAAUUAAUCAGUUAAAUUCAAUUGUAUGUACUACUUGCACUUCAAUACAGAGUCAACUUAAAUUCAUUCAAAUACAAACAGGUCAAAACAAAUUCAUUUCAUCACAAACAGUUCAAAUCAAUUUCAUUUCAGCACAAACAGUUCAAACAAAUUUAUUUCAGAUCUAACUUCAAUUAGUACAGACAGUUCAGUUCAACACAAAAGUAUCAUCACAAAGACAUAAUCCUAAUCUAGGUUGUGUUGCCUGCAAUAUCUCCUCAAGAAGGUCAGCCUUCCUUCAGUUGUGGAUAUGUUAAUGAAGAAUUCCCUCAAGGAAUCAUUUAAGCAGAUCUGAGAAACAGCAUAGUACUCAGUACUAGUUUCAUCCACCCCACACUCCAAAACCAAUUUCUGAGCCUGCUUAAUGUUGUUGGACAACUGAGCCAUCUUCUUGUCUUGCCUAUUACAGACAGCUUCCUUGAUAAACUGAUUCCUUUCAGCUUGCUGCUUAGAAGAGAAACUAAUGUAAUCCUUCAUCAUUUUCACCAUUGGGCUUUUGGUCUUCUUGUUUGGACUUGAAGCUGUUGUACUGGUACUACUUUUUCUCUUGCGGCUGCUUGUACUCAUAGAACUGUGAUGAUACUCUGGAGGUAGCUCUUGCUCAGGAGUGUCUUGCUCAGGUUCUUCAUGCUCUUCAGGCUCCUCAGGCUCUUCAGGCUCCUUAGGUUCUUGAUCAUCUGCAUUAGUGUAUCCUGGCACAAAAGAACUUGAACCAUCCACAACUACACCAUCAAAUAUACGCUAAAGCAGUGGUAGAUACUCAGGAGGCCCAUACAUUAGUUUCAUCCAUUCUGGAUGUGUUCUACACAUGUAGUAGCUGAAGUUAGAUUGCAAUCAGAUGGAUCCUUGCAGCCUGCACAUAUAAUAGAUCAACAAGUACCUUUGUUGCAGUCUCCCACCACUCUAAGGUUGCAGUAGGCCACCCAUUUUCAUUAUGGCCUAAACCACUGUCGGAAUGGAUGUCUUUUAUGAACUGAUAUAUUCCCUUGAGCUGCCUAAUCCUAUUAGAUAUCUGUUUCCUAUCAUGCCUCAGCCCUGAACCGCAGUAAUACUUUUCUAUGACGAGCUUAUACCCUUUUGCUGUCAUAGUCCCUUUAAUGUAGUUUCCCAUUUCAAUUUGAUCAACAAGUAAUUGACACAACAAGUUGUUAUUCUGCUCUGAUGACCAACUUCCUCUGUCAAAUUUACAUUUACCGUAUACAUCACAAGAACAAGCAUUUCAUAUUACUCUAACAGCAGUAGUAAAUCUCAUGAACUUCUCUGAGAUCAAGGGUUUAGGACUCGUACCUGACAGCUUGGAAAAACUUCUUCGACUUCAUUGUCUUCAAUGUCGUCGUCGUCGUUGCCCUGCCGUCGAACACGUCGACCGCGGCCACGGCCUACAGAUGCACCAGCCGCCGCCGAAGAAGCUCCACGCAUCCCACAGCCGGCGGCGGGACCCGGUGGCAACCGACCGCGGCGGCCGCGACUGGAUGACGACCAUUCGUCGCGGCCUCCUACGGCUCCGCCACAGCUCCGAGCACUGCGUAAACCGAGUGUGCAAGAGCUACCUCUUCUGCCACCACGCGCUUGAGAGUGAUGAGGCCCCGUGCUCUCCGAUGCCGCCAGUGCGCCGGAUUGCAGGAUCCCCUGAUACCGCCAUCGAUGACCAGUCAUUCGCCUGCGAGUUGAGGUCCAGUGCCUCAAUGCCAAUCCGGGGACCACUGACAGAUCCCGACCCCGGAUACUGGCUGCCCUCGCUGGCGAAGAGGUCGAAGUUGCCGGAGAAGAAGUCCCUGGUGCCGUCGUCGCCGAAUCCGUACAUCGGCGACUGGUGCUCCGGCGAAACUUGUAGCUUCUAGGCGGUUGAGGUGCUCCGGCGACUGGUGUGGUGAAGGGAAGGGGACGGGAUGUAGAUGUGGCGAGAGGGGCGGCGGCGGUGAACUCAGCACAGAGGGGUGGCGGCGGCGAUGCGGGAGCGUGUCAGAGGAAGGGGAGGCAGAGGGAGUCGGGCGAUAAGGGCGGAUGCAGUGUAGAUCUGGCGAGAGGGGCGGCGGCGGCGAUGCGGGAGAGGGUGGUGGCGGCGGCAAUGUGAGAAGAAGGGGAGGCGGGGGGAAUUAGGCGAGACGGGCGGAGGCAGUGGAGAUCUGGCGAGCGGGGCGACGCGAGGGGUGUGCGAGAGCUGGCGGCGGCCUGCGCGGAGGAGGGAGAUGCGGAUGAGGGCGACGGGCAGGUGCGGAGGCGGAGGAGAUGGCGGCGGCACCGUGGGGCUGAGCAGAGAUGGUGGGGCCGGCGAGGCGGCGGCGGCGGGCGAAGGAGGCGGGGCCGGGAGGAGCACGCGGGGAGGAAGGGAGAGAGUGUGGGGGAGGAGAGAGUGGCGGAUGAGGGCGACGGGCAGAUGCGGAGGCGGAGGAAGUGGCGGCGGCACCGUGGGGCAGAGCAGAGGUGGCGGGGCCGGCGAGGCGGCGGCGGCGGCGGCGGGCGAAGGAGGUGGGGCCGGGAGGAGCACGCGGGGAGGGAGGGAGAGAGUGCGGGGGAGGAUAGAGGUGCGGACGAGGGUGAGGGGCAGGUGCGGAUGAGGGAGGGGCGCGUGCCUAGGGUCCUGUGCGAGGGGAGGGGUAUGGAGUGUCGAGGAUCACUUUUAGCUCCUUUUAGAGCCUCUUUGAAGGCUAAAUUUUAGCUCCAAAAUUUUAGCUAUUUCUCACUUUUAGCCCACCUGUUUGGAUCCCAAGACCUAAUUUUUGAACUAAAAGUGGAGAGCUAAAAUUUAGCUCUUGGAUCCAAACAGGCCCUUAGGGCCCGUUUGGUUGCUUUCAUGCGGCCUGACCAUGCUCGGCGCAUGCAUCCGACGAGUGAUUGGUUAGCUGCCGCACCGCUAGUCAGGCUCCGCGCGUGCAACUGAAGGACGAUUGGUUGCUUGCAUCUUCAUCUGGCUCGUGCCUUCGCGUGCAGAAAUCAGCACUCAGCCUGGCUCCCGAGAAACGAAACUGGAUCUCGUUUCUUCGGAGCCUGGCUCGCUCGCUGCUGGCCCGUGAGUGCCUGUCUCCCAAGAGCCGAGCCGGCCGGUACCAGAAGAGAACCAAACGCGCCCAGGGCUUGGUUGCGGGCAUCCCCGUUCCCGUGUAUCAUGUGCGCACGAUGACGCGACGCCUGAAACUUGCUGUUUUCUCGCAGGUGCAGGCAGCCGGUUGGUUGUCGCCUUGCGCGAGGAAGACGGAAGGGAUGAGAAAGAUGCCGCGGGGACGGGAGGGACACGGACAUCGAUGAGAAAAUCUCCUGUCGAUGUGGAGGAAACCAGGGCAGGCGACCGCAGUAGGCUCGCAGGGAGAUCCCCAAAAGGCCCUUGUGUUGAUCGAUGGAGAUGGUGGAGCAUUGGCAUUUGCAAUCAGAGAGAGACCGGCCACUGGUAAAUAAACGAGGAAAAGGAAGGUAAAUAAAGGCCAAGCGAGUCCUCUGGCACUGCCUGUAAAAAGGAGAUGACACAAUCAGAUUCUCAUAGAGGAGAGGAUAAAAAAGGAGCCGGCAACGAAGGGCUCGCUUGGAGAGUGGAGAUGACUCGACACUUGGAGAGCUCUUGUUUUUACUUGUUCAGCGGCACUGCAGCAGCGAGACCGUACGGCGAGCAUCUUUCUUUUUUUACCGGUCAAAUUUCGAUGCUGUCAUGGGUGCAGGGAUGGCAACAAACUUUUGUUGCAGGAGAUGGUGGCGCAGAAACAGAAAGCACUGGGGUUCCUGUGACAAAUCACAUGCGGUAACACAGGUGCAUGCGCAUCGAUCCGAGGCGAUAGCUGCCUGCCUGCCGCUCCGCGGGACGCUCCAUCUGGUGAGGUCCCUUCCUGACCCGUCUGCGGAAAGGAAAGGUUGCCUGCUUGCUUCACCCGUUCUGAACCCUGAAUAAAUUGGUUGGUGCUGAUCGGCCACUUCCUUUUGCCACUAGCAUUAGGAGUGGUACUGUUAGUUAGCGGUAACCGUGAUGAAGCUGGGCACAUGGCUAUUAAUAGCUUGAUUUGUGCUCAUUAAGGAAGGGGAAAAAAGAGAGGUUGCCCAUGUCCUGUGUCCUCCGCCCUGUCUGCUGUUGGCCUCAAGCCUGACGAGGAAGCUGCAAUCGCUUUGCUGUCUUCCAAGUUUCAAGGUCCCAACAAGGCAACCACCACCGCACCUGACAGGAAAGAUGCUGCCCCAAACCAAAAGUAAUUAACCGCUUCUAUUCUACUAGUGGUAUCAUUAUCAUACCAUCUCGCCCUUUCAACGAUCUGUACCAGUAAUAAGAAGCAGACAACUGCUAAUCCUCUGUCCAAAAUAGGCUAUUUUUUUCUUAUAGGAGAAUAGAAUCGAUCGAAAUAGUGGAGUUCUAACGUAACCACGGUCGUAAGCGUGAUUCAUGACAGUGUGAAGGCCUCCCGGCUUUGUUUCGCAUGCUCUCUGAGCUCUGACGCAAGUACGCACCGGUCGCCAUUACUGUAGCUGGUACGAAGUUAGGUCUUGAUAAGACCGGUUGGUUGGGGCGAUGGCUAUUAGCUAAUCUCGUGGCCGUCUAUUGGCCAGGCGCCUUGCCGUUUGUGUACCCUGAGAGGAGCCCGGUGCGACGCCCACUGCCGCCGAAUAAGGAAAGCAUUUACGCCUAAAUCGACCGGCCAGCAGCUAUUAGCCGGACCGAUCCCAUCGAUCGCAGGGGAAUAAGAACCGGGACCAUGACCGACGAUGACGAGGCUGUUGCUGCAACUACAGCCAAUCAGAUUCCUAGCUACAGUGAACAUGGCCUGCCCUGCAGUGUGAUCAUGUAGGCCAAGCCAAGACCAUCUUGCUUUUCUCUCGUAGGAAGCCAUAGCUAGGGUCGUCGUUGCCUCACGUAAGAGAUACGAAAAGGUGUGUGUGCACCGCGACAUGACUGACCCGGGACGGUUCCCAUCUGCUUUGCAGCUGCUAGCAGUAGGCUACUUGCCCAUUGGCGCCGGCUGCCUGCUUUCAUUAGGUUCUAGAAUAAGGCCACUUCAGCUCGGAAAACCAUCAUCAAUGCCUGUCUGUGCAUGCUUUUCUUUUCUUUUCCCCCUUGCUCUGUCAUCAUGGAACUCAGCGAUAACAAUAAUCUAGCCAUGCAUGCCUGCCCUGUCCGACGUGCUCAAGUGGAGCAUGAUAUUGUAUUUUGUUCAUCCAACGUAUGCAGCGGUCGAACAAUUCUUUUGUGGGCAGGCAUGCGGCCACGAGGGCCGGAAAUCAUGACCGGGAUUUAACAAUGCCCCCCAACUUGCCCAAAACGAUCAGUGGAGCGUCACGUUGCUUCGUAGCCUCACUAGCUUGUGCUUCCCGUAAUAGUAGCACCUAAUACAAUACGUGCAUGAUGAUGCCCACUUCGUGGUGUAAACAAACGCCCCAGUUGCAUGCCUUUUCCCCUCUGCUUUAGAAUGAGUGAGGAGAGAAUGGUGGUCUGUUGAUAACUGAUUGGCAUGUUUCAAUUUUAUUACGCGCCUAAUAGGAGCUUUCUCGGUAACCUGAUGAUGAUGGAUCAACAGAAAGCACCCGAACUAUCAAAAGCUGCCUAGCCCUAACCGUGAUUGGCAAUACAUGGCUCCGACUAACCCUGCAGGUGCGGCGGCUCUUCUGUCCUUACACUUACCCACGUCGGCCGCAUCACGUCAUCGGGUCUUACUCGUACAGGGCCCUAGCUACGUGACCGAUCAAUGAAGCUAAGAAUGACCAAUCAAUUCUGACGAAGAAAUUGAAGAAACAAACAACUAGAGUGAUUUUCAGAUGCGGACAUCGGCCAAUAAAACGCAUGUUCAGAAACACCCCAGCUUGGCUGCUACUGCAAUCUAGGAGUAGAUGCAGUAUAACCAACCAACCAACCAACCAACAACCAAACUUGCCAUUAUCGGACUCACUACCAGCUCCAUCGAUACCUCUACGUCCCGAAAGAUACUUGGAGCAGCAGCCGCAGUCCCAAUCAUAGUAAGCGCGGCUCGCCGCAGGGCUUGGACAAAACAUACCAAACCCUAGAUACCCACAAGCCGUGACUUGCGAGCUAAUCGGUUCGCCUCAUCAACCUUGGCGUGAGGCCGUGAGCCCGAGAAAGUGCGGCGUACGUCUAGAGUCUAGCCUCUCUACUAGAUGGCAAGCUAGAGGAAGCGUGUUGGCAACUUGGCACAUACGACGCGUACAGCGCCACCAACUGUGAACAAGCAAACUGCCCUGCCCUGGCGACCCUAGGACAUCCACUACUUGACCUCCUCGUCCGAGUCCAGGAGGCCUGGCUCGCUCGUUCCUAGCUGGACGCCGUCCGUAGCCGGGGCCCAGAGCCACGGACACGGGGACGUCGUUGUAAUCCCUCCCAAUUUCGGACGGACCAACCAACAACCCGGCUCGGCGUCGGCACUGCGUGCGUAAACCAUGGCGCCCUUUCCUUAUUCGUGCGUCCGUGACGCUGCCGGCCUCGCCUUUCCCUUUUCCUUUCUCCGGCUGCCAUGGACUGGACGGCGGGCGCACAUGCACGCGCGCACGCAACUGGGCUAGCCUGGGCGGCGUACCUGCGGCGGUAGCCUCAUGCCAUUUGCAGCAAGCUCUGAUGGCUCAUGCUUUGGACAACGAAGCAGUUCGUUCCGGCUUUCGGUAACAUGAGUAGUUUUGUCUGUCUAACAUGGAUUGUCUUUGGCGCCUACUAGUAAUAGCAUGACCUUCUCCGACGCUGCCUCGCUGAUUCUUCUCCGGGAGCACAUCGACCUCUGGGUUCACCGCGCCUCCCCCCGCAUGGAUACGGACCCCCUCCAGGACUGGUGCCGAUCCAUGGUCCAUGUAAACUCCUCUUGAUAGGCUGCGCCUCCCCUGUUUUUCUUCCUGAUUUCCUACUGCCUUUGGCUCUCUGUAUUUGCAAACGCCUGUUUUCUAAUUAAUGAAAAAUGGUUCAGGUGGGCCGCUGCCCCACGUCGUUGCCUUAAAAAAAACCUUGUCUGUCUAAGCUAAGCGAUUCAAUUAGAAUUAGCCUGUGUCGAUUUCUUCGUUAAUGGGUGUUAGAAUCUGAUACCCUUAUUAUGCGUAGGAACCCGGAUCUUGAAAGGAUACGACACGAUCUUGCAUCUUAUAAGAACAAUGUAGAUGAAUCUCGUAGAAAAUACUAAAUGAUGACGUUGAGGCAACCACAACAAAAGAAUAGGAUUUUGGCAAAAACGACCGCGGAUUUUUUAAGCACAACUCCCCAAAGAGUACAAGUGAUUGUCGCUCCCUCACAACCUUACUCAACCCUCUAGAACCCUUUGAUUCUUGCCCUAUACAAGAAUCUAAUGCUAUAGAACUCUCUAGCCUAUCCCUCUUGAGCGCUCCUAAUUGCCUCUCACAAGUUUUAAAUAAGAUUUUGGUGUUUGCUUUUGACACCUCCUUAUUUAUACAUGAAAGUAGGAGUCCUACGUCUAGUAGGGUAAGGCGUAGGGUUCAUCGUUCAAGUCGUAGAAAUAAAAAUUCUAAUAGCACAUCCUAUAGAAUUCUAAUCCAAAUAGAAUUUGAGUCACCUUACAACAAUGGCUAAAGCUGGACCAAGUGGCCCUGGUCUAGAAGUAGAAGAAUUGAAGGGCGACGGGCUAGAAACACGAACACAGGCUGGUGUAGUAGCACUGCGAAAUUAAAGGGGGCAGGACAUGGAGGUUUGCAAUCUUUAUUUAGCCCUAGCUGGUGGCCAUUAGGCUAUACGGUCAACAACAGAAAGGUAAUGCUGGCUACUGUUGCCCAGUCCUAUGCAUAGCAUGCAUCUUUGUGUUAGCUCCUACUGCCAUUGUGACACAACUUUUAUUAGACUUGGAUAAGAGAGAAUAAUCGUACACUGACGAGGAGAAAAAAAGAAGUACUCCUAUCUCAGUUAUUGGUACGGGAUGAACAGCGGCAACACGCACGCCGAGCCGUCCAGCUCCAACCCGGGCGAGACACGCUUCCUGGCGCAAUCUGGCGUUUGGGAUGACGCGAUGCGAUCGAGGCCCUUAUUGGAGAGUCAACAUGCGCAUCAUGGCUACUCGUACCUUCGGAGUUGGAAGACCCAUGCUCAUUUUGUUGGCACGCGGCAUAUUUUUGUUCAGACAAAGCUGUGGUAAAUUGGUCCAUUGUACUGCGGCAACACAUGAGAAUUGUUGAAAAAUGGAACUAGGUUUCAUCACAAGUAGCCUUGCACACAGAGUACUUAAGCAUGGAGUUUCGUGCUCUAAGCCAUGUGUCGCUCCUUCAUUCACCCGAACUUCAGCUUACCGCCGCCACUAUCAGGACAAGUUAGAGGUAGGGCUAACCCGAGGCACAAAUUCAAGAGAUAGGUAGUGGAAAAGCAAUGAAAUCUUCGACAAAUAUAAAUUAAUUUCCUCCAAAAGACUUCACUAUAAGUCUGAGGCUGUACUGUUGAUAGAAGAAGGGUCUGUUUGGUUGGGCUGUCUCCCAUUGCUGCCUCCCGUAGGAGUUUGGGUCGUGUCUCAGUUCCAUUGUGGCUGAUCAUCCUCUCUUUUAGGUUUAGGUAUCGUGAAAAGUGAUACCUGUGAAGAUCGUGCAUUUCAGUCACAUUCAGAAAAAGCUGCUGUGAGCUGUGAUGAAGCUGAAAGCUGUUUGGUUGGAACUGUGAAACUGUAGGUUUGCUGGAGACUGUUGAUAUUAAAAUUGAUUGUAAAAUAUUAUUUUGUUUACUAAUUCGCAUGCAAAUUACCAUUUUAGAACGGAAAACUUAAUGUCCGUUAAGUUUUGCAUUCACCAUUAACAUAUGGUCCACAUAAAUAAAUUGAUAGAAUUUUACAAAAGAUAUAUGGUUCAUAUAAUGAUAUCCUUCUUCAACAUAACUAUCUCUCUCGCACUGACCAAAGCAUCAACUAUCCUACUUCGAAUGGUAUUCAUGUUAUCCUCAUUCUCUCCAUCUGGAUUGUCAUCUCCUUGUGCUUAUGCUGUGGCACUGUGUUGUAGCAAGUACUCCUUAUCAACAUCACAUCUAUCAAACAACCUAUCUUGCAAAUUGUUGUCACGAAUAAAAUUAUGCAAAGCCAUACACUCUAGAAUUAUAUGCUUCUGAGUACGAGUAGGAAAACUUGGAAUGCCCUUCAAAAUACGCCACUUCUACUUCAAGACUCCAAAAGCCCGCUCAAUGAUAUUUCGAAGAGAUGAAUGUAAGAAAUUGAACAUCUCAUACUUCCAUUGAGAAGCACACCCAUUACAAGUCGAAACUCUAGUAUAUGGUAUGUACCUCCUUUGUAAGGGGAAAGAUAUCCUAGUCGGUUUGGAUAACCACAGUCGAGACCUAUAAAACCAAAUCAGUAAAGGCAAAUAACAACAGAAGUAUUGAUAGUAACAAAACAUGUAUACCUUUAAGAGGCACGGGAAAUGAAGGAAAAUUUGCUAAAGCAUGAUUCAGGAUCCGGUGUCACGUGGAGAAUCCGACCACCCAGCAACCACAAAGAUAAAUCUCAUGUCAAAAUCACAAGCAGCUAGCACAUUUUGAGAUGUAUACCCAUGUCGACACGUGUGGUUGACCACUUUCUCUGCUGGCACUGCUACUGGAACAUGUGAACCAUCAAUAGCUCCAAUAGCACCUUUGAAAUAAGGCCAAAAAUGAUCCUAUUUGACCUUUUCAUGUUCAACAGAGAAAGUAGGAUCUCUUGGCUUGAUAUUGUCCUUUGCUAACUUACGCAAACAAUUCAAUACUUCAUGAAUCUUGGUGUGAACUAUCCAAAGUGAUCGGGUAAAGCGGUUUUCAGCUUGAGAGAAUGAUUCAGGUCCUCCAACUAUCCACAAGAACAUCGCCAAUGACUCCAUUGAUGAUACAUUGUUGCUUGAUGUCAAAUCGUAGUUUGAGAUGAGCAAGUGCUAUGAAAAUAUCAGGGCUCAUCCUAAACAUCUUAUAAAAGUACCUCGGAUGACCCAUGAUCCUCGUAACCCAUUGAAGUCCAGUUUCUGGUGUUUUCCUAUAUUCUCCUUUGUGCAAAUACUGAUAAGUGUAUUGGUCCCCCAUUUGACCAAUAAUGGUAGCCUGCUAGGAAAGUUCAGCUAGAAGCAGUAGUCCUUUUUGUUCUUUUUUGGCCAAAUCUUCCAUGUUGGCAUCCAUCUACACAAGAUAUGGACAACAAUGAGAAGAAAAUAUGGACAACAAUGAGAUAACAAAAAUUGACCAGCAAUGAUAACAAAAAUUGGACUGCAAUGACAACAAAAUAUGGACAGCAAUAAGACAAUAUAAUAUGAACAACAAUGAAUGGUUCUUAGAUAAUGCAAGCAAAUAAUCUUUUAGAGUACAAGCAACAUUAUUUGAAAUGGUUCUCACAUAACAGGAGCAAAUAAAUGGUUCUAACAACAUCACACUAGAAAUAAAUGAAUGAAAAGUUCUACAGGCGCCUCAUCAACUCCUUCUCAUGCUCCCUCUCAAGCAGAUCGAACCUUCCUUCAUUUAUUUCAAGCGAGCUAAAUACCUCCCUAAAUUCAGGCUUGACGAUUGGGAAGGUGGUUGUGUGCAUUAGAGCAGUUUUUUCUUCCACCCCACAAUCUUUCACCAUCUGCAUUACCUCUUUAAUGCUAGGGACUUGAUUGGUUGGACGAGCUGAUGAAGCUUCAGCACUUGUGGAGAUCUUCUGUGCUGCUGUUUCUAUCUUCAAACAUGUAUUUUUGUAUAGUCAAAAGAAUGGGCUUUUCUCAUCCUUCUCUUCAGUAGCAGUAAAGCUGUCCUUGCAUUUCCUUUUUUCCUAAUUUUAAUUUGUUCAAAGCAGCCAACUUAACAUCAUCGUUAUCUGGAUUUUUUGUACCUCUGCCAGAUUCUCAUCACUUGACUCAUCGGAGGAAAUAUCAUCAGGAUAUGAUGCACUAGCCCUGCGAACAUGUGUCUUAUCAAACAAUAUAUGCAGAUCAUCAAGGUGCUUAGGUCCUUAAUUCCUGAACGUUAUAUCUUUGUCUGGAUUGUUGGAUCUCUAAAAUAAGAUGAUAAAAGUUAGCAAGUCAUCUGCAAAUAAGAACAAAAAUUGAAUAAUUACAGUAAAAUUCUUAUAGCAAGAUGUUUAGCCCAUCAUUCCUUAGAGCAUUCAACAGUUUGUUUUGUCUCAUUCCAUCCAAGCCUAGUAGCACAAUUAUUGACUCCAUAAACCAAGUAUAUUCCUUUUUUAUAUUGUCCAACUUGUUCUUCAAUUAUUUCUUUGUUUGCAUAAGACUGGUUUUUUCUUCAUACUUAAAUGAUAUAUUUUUCCAACCAGUCCUAGUGAAAAUUUCCAAUGACCUAUUCCUAGCUUAUAUCUCUCCUUUGCACAUAUCAAUGAGAUGGUUCACAUUGACAUCACACCAAUCAACUUUAUCAGCCAUUCUUCAACCAAGCAAAAAAAAGUUUUCAUUCAAUUCAGUACCAAUCAUGCAACAAGUAGUUUAUCAUUCUUUUUUUACUAAUCAAGCAUGCUAAUCUGCUGUGUACCAUUCUGAUUGGAUGCUACUGCACAUACAGAACCUAUAAAAAUAGAAUGCACACAAGCACUAACAGCCUAGCAAGUUGAUAUACCAACAUUGUUGCUGACAAUCCUACCAAUCCUACUAAACUAUAACCAUGGUUGCUGCAGCCUAGCAAGUUCAACCAAUCGUACCAAUCCAUAACCAUGGUUGCUGCAGAAUUAUAGACUAACAUUGGAGACACUCAACCAAUAGUACCAAUCUAGAAUCAGUAGGAAGGAAGAGGAGGGAGAGGUACCUGCAGAUCUUGGGCACCACGAGCUGAAGAACCAAUCGAGCAGGAGAGGCAGGGAAGGAGCACCUGCGGCUCGCCGAAGAAUUGGGGGAGCACGAGCUGCGGGCAGCCAGAGCCGAGGGGGAGCACGAGGAGGGGCAGAUGUGCGGCUAUUCUCCCGCCGAUCCCGCUCGGUUGCCCGCCGCCGCGCCACCUAGAAGACAGAGGGAGAGAGGUGGACCGCCGGAGAUGGAGGAGCGCCGUCGGAGCUCGUUUUAGGGCCCGACAGAGGAGAACAGCGGAGCACCACCAGGGAUUGAUUCGAGGAAAAAGAACGAACCGGUAUCUCAUAACGAGUAGUAGGUGGGUAAUUUAGAUGAAAAGUUACCCAAGGAAGCCGAAAAAGCAUGGGGAUACCUACUGUGGAAAAUGAACUACAUCAAAGCAGCUUUCUCUUGAAGUCAAGGAGAUGGGAUACCCCCUUUGGUUUGGCUUCUGGCUUUUUUUGGAAGCCACACCAUUUUGAAAGCUAAACCAAAAGGACCCGAAGACUCUGUGGAUCCAAAAGGUGAUAAAAAAACUCCAAUUCCUAUCAACUGGGAUAGAUGUAUCCCUAUCAUAACAUGUUGAUAUGAUAUGGCACUAGCAUUCUUUUGAUAACCACAAUACUAGCGUUACUUUUUUUUUCGGAUCUAGCCAUGGAUUGGUGCUAGCAACAGCGGACCUAAAUUGGGGUAUCCAACACACUGGCUAUUCUUUUACAAUUAGUUUUUUCCCCUCAAAACACAAUACAAACAUAGGCGUUCGCAUAUAAGCAUAAACACCCUAGCUCUUAUUUGUGAGAUUUCCUAUGUUUUGACUUUGAUUGCAGUAUACUCACUGUCUCCAAAAAAAAAGUCAUCCUAGUUUGGAAAAGAUUGAUUUUGACCAUCAAACGAACUCCAAAAAAAUUGAUUUUGGCCAUAGAACUCGAAAACCAAAUGGCUGGUUUCAAAGGUGGUUCUGCCGAUAUGUUUUUCUAAACAUAUUUGAAAGAUGGUUGGAUAGCUAAAAUUACAGCUAAGUUAUUCGGAACAGAAAAAUAUGAAACCAUACUUUUUCCUUAAAAUAAAAUCCAAGAAUUAGUGCUCUACUUAGAGUUAUUUGGGUGUUAUUGUUCUUGCUUCUAGUGUUUUAUUGCUCGUAGUCGCGGCAAUCAUUUAUUUAAAUUAUGAUAUUGUGCUUUUUUACCUUUAUGUUGAUCGAUGAUGCUUGAGCCCCAGCCUUGUUUGAAACUUGUGUCCACUAGUGUGGCUAGUCAUGCAAAUCGGAUUUUGUUAGUUUUUUUAUACAAAAUAAAUUAUUUAUGAAAUUCUUUUACAUAUUAUACCCAGUUCUUGUUGUAAAUGUUGGCAUCCUCCUCAUAAACAUGAGAUGAUUGACUUACAAGUAGUUUUUCGCCUUACCGCGAGCAAGCCAUAAGUACAAAACAAAAAAUAAAAUAAAAGAAACAACGCUUCUCGUGAUAAGAAAAGCAAGCGAAAGACAUAAAGAAAGAACGCUUUGGAGCGUGACGUUGAUGGUUUGAAGCUGUCACGGCCAAACUACGGCGGAGGCAGAGAAAAAUGGCGCCAAGAUACAGUACGAAGACGUGACACGCCGCGCUGUGGCGCCACGUCCUCUACUUUUCCACAAGUACAAAGGGCAUGCGCCGCAGAGGCACCUUGACUCCCGCCACAAGGCCGGGAACCCCCAAACGGCAUGAGCCCCUCCAACACGGCGUCCCAAAUAUGAUCUGCCGACGCGUGAGUCGUGUCCCGUGACAUCGAUCGGUGCGUGCACGGCAUGAACGAAGGGAGCAAGGUAGCUAGCGAGGUCUUCGGUAAUGGGGAUGAGGUAGCUCGCGAUCGCAUCAGCUAGCCGCUGCACUCCAUGGCUACUUGCAAUUGCAGCUAAUAAGCAGCUGCCGCGUUGGUCCGACCGUGCUUCCCGUCCUGGGCAAGAGCUAUGACUCGCGAGCUCAUCGGCCAGCCAAUGGGUUGGGUGGCCUCGGACUUUGCCGUUCGGUACCGGCGCCGGUUUGAUUUCCCUACCCGGUACGACAACUAUGCGCGCACUACUCUUAGCUCUUGGCUCUAGCUCUCCCUGAGAUACGAUUUCCAUGCAAACCACCUCCCUAGUCGCUACUAAUGGCGAGUACCACAAGGAUCCCUUUGUACGUUGAGUGAAACAACUCGAUCGCAACACCCAAGUCAGAAGGGGAAACGAAAACGAAGCCAAGCAAGAAACUUGCUUGCUGGCACUCUCCACCGUUACAGUUACAGUUACAGUUCAGAACGCCCGCUGGUGAGAUCACAGGCGGACAGAUCCGAUACAGUACUCGAUAGAUCGUCGGACAGGUACUGGUCAUGCCAAGGUUUCAAUGCCCACGAUCGAGACGUGCACCACCGAAAUGAUGCACAGCCGCCAUUGCCUUCGGAUCUUUUCUCCUACCGAAGUACCGAGCCUCUCUGCCAAUGCGGUGGCGGCACGUAAGCUCCCCCCUCCAAAAACGGAACUCGCCAUCUUUUCCCUGUAGGAGGCCGACGUCUCCGCACAUACGCACACGCGUCGCCGUCGCACGGCAGGACUGCGACCUCAAACUACUAGCGUGUAGAGCCCCGAUUGUUGAUGCAGGGUCCUGCUCCGGUUAGGAAACUGGGCGCCCAGUACCUUGCAGGGGUGUACCAGGAUGAGUUGGAAGUUUUGGGCCGAGAUGCGAGGUGUACCCCAUGCCAUGCACAAAACUUCUGCUGGAUGCUUUUACUUGCCGGCUUUGUUUGACAGGCUAGGCCGGGCGUCAUGUCAUGAUUGUCAUGUGUGUGAUGCGCGGUGCUCCAAGUCCUGGUCGUCCGGAGCUUGGUUGAGACCAGACUAGCAGACUACUCUCUUCUGAAAAUCAUCUGUUUCUACAGUAUGUAUUUUUUUCCUUACAGAAAGAGGAAAAUGAUGAAGCAGCAGAGAGCAUCUGAUCUUUGUGCAGACCAAUCAUCAGAAGGAGAGUUAGCAGGACGCAAGCCGCGCCGUAUGGUUACCGAGGCAUUGAGAGCUCCAAGAAGGCAAUAAUACUGGGAGACAGGCAAGGACGUGUAGCUGGUGGCUGCCACUGUUGAAGCCCCCACCAGGACCUCCGAUCGAACUGGUAAUUUACGACGUCGGAAAUUUCUCCGAUUUGGCAGCGCUUAACUUGCUAUUACUCCCUCCAUUUUUAUUUUUAUAAAGAAUGGUAUGACUUGACACGAUUUUUCAAAUAACACUUUAACCAUUUAUUUAUCUUAUGUUAUAUUAUUCAUGGUUAUAAAUUUAUAAUUAUAGUAGAAUAUAUUUGAUUACGAAUCAACUAUAUAAAGUUUAUAUUAUAAAAAUAAAAAAAAUUAAUAGUCAGAUUAUUAGUUAAAAAUUGCAAAAUUUGAAUCUUGAUAUGCGUGUGUGCCUUAUAAAUAAAAACGGAGGGAGGCUGAUAGGUUGUUGUUUCUUUCGCUCAAACUGACGACAUGUCGAGCUGAUGCUGGAUGAACAGGACAAGUGCCAAGGAAGCUUGGUCUUCACUGACUCUGCCGUUGUCAACACGGUGAUUGUGCUUGUUGUGUGUGCGGUCAAAAGGAAAAUGCAAUACCGUAGUAAGGAGGUGUUGGAAUCCAUGGACUAAUUUUUAGUUCGGGUCACGUCGGAUAUUUAACACCAAUUAGAAGGACUAAACAAGAACUAAUUAUAAAACUAAUUGCAUAGGCCGUGACUAAUUUGCGAGACAAAUCUAUUAAGCCUAAUUAAUCUAUAAUUAGCACAUACUUACUGUAGCAUCACAUGAUCAAAUCAUGAACUAAUUAGGUUUAAUAGAUUCGUCUCACGAAUUAGCCUUCAUUUAUGCAAUUGGUUUUAUAAUUAAUCUAUAUUUAAUAUUACUAAUUAGUAUCUAAACAUUUAAUGUUACUGGAAGUCCCUGAACCAAACAGGCACUGCGAAGAAAAGAAAGACCUGGCAGUCGAGGGAAAACCUGCGGCUGUAAAAAGUGGUUAGGGUAAGUCUCAGGUUGCUCAUGUUGCAUGACAUGACUUGGCUGCGAGCUGUAUUAACGUGCAAAGCUACAAUUUCCUCUGGGAAAAGACACUUCCUGCAGCUAAAACCGUCUCCUUUUCAGACUAAACAUGAUUGAUUUUCUGAGCGGCAUUCAAGUAGUAUCGUCGAAUUACCUGGCACAAUUGACCGUGCCCCCUCUGUAGAAACGUGAUCUUUUGUCAUGAGUUUUUAUUUGAAAGUUUCAUGAUUUUUUUUUCAGACUACGCGAGACAUAUGACCUUGAAAAGCUUAUUAUUAGUUGGUUUGUACUGCCACGCUAGGAUUUCCUACUGUAAGUUAUCCUAAUAAUUACCUGAGAAUAUGAUCUUUUGGUCCCAGUCAGACCGAGUCAAGGUUGCAGUGUUUUUAUCCGAUCCUGAAGUGAGAACGAAAAGGGGUCUCGCCUCUCACGUAGUACGUCGGAUAAGCAUGUCCACAUGUGACUUGGCUGCAGGGGGGCUGCAGCUGCAACCAUGGCAGAUAAGCAGACGCCAGUGACGGCCCGAGCCCCACGACACGAGCUCUGCCUGCCUGCCGCUGCCCCUGUCUCUGCGGAGCAAACCGUCCCCUGCCCACCCUGUGCCGCCCCCAAAAGGUGAAGCCCCACGCCAAUACAAACCGGGGCGUAUGCGUAUCGGAUCCUAGCGCAGCAAAACCACUUUGACGAGCGAAUGAUUUGAUUACUAAGGUUGUUGCCCGCCCUAAGAGUUGGUAACACACGUCUUGUUUGUUUACUACUGCUGCUGCUGCUUCGUCAGGCAGCUGAGCUGAACAAGCUGGUGGAUGUGUUGUGAGUGGUUGCCGAUGCCGCCUGGGCAUCGUCCUCGGCGCGCGUCUUUUAUAACCGCGCGCGCACCUCCCUCUUCUCCUGCUGGGCCGCCGAGCAUCCAUCCCGUCCCACCAUGCCGCGAGCCGGAACUGGCCGCAACUUGCAGCCGCGGCAACCAUAAUCCUCUUCCUCCUCUUGAGAAAGAGAGAGAGAGAACUCCAGCCGGGGCUGGUGCCUUUUGCCUCCUCUGCUCUCCUAGGUUGGGAGAGUCUUCGCCAAGGGGAUAGCAAAAGAGAAAGUACUUGCAUACCCCAACAAGGCAACAGCGCCUGCUUUUUGCCUCCUUUUCUCGCCCCCUCCCCCCUCCUCUUUUGGCCGGCCUCCUCUCCUCUCCAGCUCUCCUCUCUCCGCGUCUCGUCCCCGUCUCCCUCUCUUUGUUCGUUUCAUCACUCGAGUUCGUUGGAGUGCGAGGCACGGAGGAGAUCGAGUCGACAAGGAGGGCAGUGGACCACACGGUGACCAGCACACCUAGCCAUGUGGGAUCUUAAUGAUUCCCCGGCUGCCGAGGCCGCGCCGCCGUCCCCGUCCGCCGACGACUCCGGCGCGUCCUCCUCGUCGGCCGCCGCGCCCGUCGAGAUACCCGACGACGCCGACGACGACUCUGCCGCCGCCGCAGCCGCCGCGGACGCCGUGGUCACGCGCCAGUUCUUCCCGGCCCCGGCUGCGGCGCCCGGCGCGGCGGGCAGCGCGCGCGCGGGCUGGCUCCGCCUGUCCGCCGCGGCCCCGCCGCCCGCCUCCAACGGCGCGACGGCCUCCGGCGCUGCAGGGGCGGCGGCGUCCAAGAAGAGCCGGCGCGGGCCGCGGUCGCGCAGCUCGCAGUACCGCGGCGUCACGUUCUACCGCCGGACGGGACGGUGGGAGUCGCACAUAUGGUAAGUCCCGUUGCCGCCGUCCUUUCCUUUCUCGAGAGCUCGAGGAGAGAGACCGCAGCUCGCGAGGAGGCUUGCUAUUGGAUUCCUCUUGUUUUGGGCAUUUCUUGCUUCUGCUCCUUUUGCCUUUCAUAGCAACAUCUUAUCAAAGUUAUUCUUACCAGCUGUUACCAUGCCAUGCUCUCUCUCUUUCUCUCUCACCAUCUUCUCUCUCCUCUCUCUCCCCCCAUGCUCUCUGUUUGUGCAAUGCAGGGAUUGCGGCAAGCAGGUCUAUCUGGGUAAGUUUCAUUCAUGUCCAUCUUGUCCAUGCCCAUACUUGGGACUGCUACGAAUCGCCCAAUCGGAGGCGUCUUCGGUUCUGCUCCCAGUCCCAGGUUUCGAUUCCUCACAAAUGGCUUCUUGUUGUGAUGACUUGCAGGCGGAUUUGACACCGCUCACGCGGCGGCUCGGUAAAGCCUCUGCCUCUCUCUUUGUUCGAUCUUUAUUGGCUCCCUUGCCUUCACUGACUCCCAUGUCCAGUUCUCCGCCAAUCGCAGCCGUCUCGCCGUCAAAUUCUAAUCUUUGUUCGGUUUGCCUACCAACCCCAGGGCGUACGAUCGGGCGGCGAUCAAGUUCCGCGGCGUGGAGGCCGACAUCAAUUUCAACCUGGAGGAUUACGAAGACGACAUGAAGCAGGCAAGUCGGCGGGAUAAACAAACAAAUUACUACAACGAGCAGCGAGAUUUCCCGUCUAAUUAUCGUGUUCGUCUGCCAGCAGAUGGGCAACCUGAGCAAGGAGGAGUUCGUCCACGUGCUCCGGCGGCAGAGCACGGGGUUCCCCCGGGGCAGCUCCAAGUACAGGGGCGUCACGCUCCACAAGUGCGGGAGGUGGGAGGCGCGCAUGGGCCAGUUCCUCGGCAAGAAGUAUGUGGCAUCGAUCGCCUCAGUUCCUUCCCUUCCUCCCUCUGCUCUCCGACUCCCCAACCACCUCGUCUUUCCCCAUCCCCGCAUCAUCAUCAUCGGCUCUUCUUUCUCUGUCGCUGCGCCUCUCACCCCAUUCAUGGCUGUCACCCUCCGGUCUGUGUCACUGCAGGUACGUCUACUUGGGCCUGUUCGACACCGAGGAGGAAGCCGCCAGGUAAAAUAAUUGGACCCGCACUGUGAGCGCGCUCGCGAGGCGCCUCGCCAUGGGCGGUGGUGAACUGAUUGAUGAUGCCCCGUGUCUGUGGGGAUUGCUUGUCGGGUGAGUGCAGGGCGUACGACCGCGCGGCCAUCAAGUGCAACGGCAAGGACGCGGUGACAAACUUCGAUCCCAGCAUUUACGCCGAGGAACUCGAGCCGGCGGGUUCGUGUUCGUGCGCCUGUUGCCCCAUUCAUGCGCCAUCACUGUGCGAUUAGCUAGCUACAGGCGUCGUCUCUGUUCAUGAUGGACAGUUUUUUUUUCCCUCACUGUAUGUGCAGCGGCGACGACUGGCGGCGGCGACGAGCACAACCUGGACCUGUCGCUGGGAAGCUCGGCCGGGAGCAAGAGGGGCAGCCUUGAUGGCGGUGGCGCCGGCGACGACGAGACCUCGGACCAGCGCGUGCCCAUGGCGUUCGACCUCGACUGGCAGACUGCCGCGGCCCGGAGCACGAAAGCAAAGGUAUCCAUUCAUCCUGUCAGUUAUUUGGUCCCGCGUUCUGCAUCGACGACAUAUAAAAUUGUUCUAACAAAGCAACAAAUUGCUCGUGUUUGAACUGCUUGUGUGGGUCGCAGUUCGACGCGAGCUCCAAGCAACCCCAGAUGCCUCCCUCCUUGCAAGGCGCUCACCACCUGCCGUUCAGCCCCAGGCAUCAGCAAGUGGGUAUUUGCAAUCUGUUCCUCGUUCCUUGUUCCUCGAUGGGCGCGAACUGACACUUGUUUAAUUUGGUGCCCAAUUGCGGCAGUUCCUGAGCAACGAGGGCGAUCCGGGGACAGCGGGGGGCCUGUCCCUGGCGAUCGGCGGCGCGGGCGCCGUUGGCGGGCACUGGCCUCCCCAGCUGCUGCAGCAGCAGCAGAGGCUGUUGCACGGCUGGGGCAACGGCGGCGGCACGAGCUGGCCGCUGCCGCCGCACCCUCCGCCACCGACCAACGCCGCCGCCGCCGCCGCCGCGACCGCAGCUGCAGCAUCAUCACGAUUCCCUCCCUACGUCACGACGCAAGGCCCGACGAGCUGGGUUCAGAAGAACGGGUUCCACUCGCUGGCCAGACCCACCUAGAGCAAGAAGGACCAGCGACCGUGCAUCGACCGAUCGUCUUCCACGGCAGAGAGAUCAUCUGACGACGUUCUAAAGCCAAAACGAUUCCUCGAACCACGGCGACGUUUACCGGAGACGACAGACAACUGGACGCAAUUCUUUCCUCCCUUUUUCUCUUCCAUUAUUGCCCUUUUCCCCUUCUUCUCUGUUUCUUGAUUGGGUGAGAGACAUGGAUCCGAGGAUGGAUGGACAUGUAAAUGAGGAGUUCCCGAGAAGACGACGAUGAGUGAUUGGUAGGCGUCGCAUCGAGCAAGCAGUGUGUCUUUUUUGCCGCUUUUUUUCACCAUUGGCCAGCACCGAUGGCACCGGGGUGUCAACAUCACAGCUCAUUUUGUUUGGUCUCAUGUUGCAUCACUCGCUCGCUGCACGAUGGCCGUGGUUGGGGGAAAUUCGCUGCGUCCACCACCGCCGGUGGGCCGACAGAACCUCCGUAUGUGGUGUGGAUUACUAUCUUAGAAUAUUUGUGGUGUGGGUCUCGUGCUCGUGUUAAACCUAGUAUUAUGUGGUAACUGUCAUCAUCAGGCAGCACUCGAAUAAGAUACUUAUUAACCUUGAGAUUACUGCGGCUCCUGUCAUGUGGAAGCGUAUGGCUUCCUACUGGGAAAACUGAUAGGGUGUCCAAGUCUGUAACCAUCACUGGACAGUAAAUCUCUCCUGUAAAGUCCUUUUCUCCGUUGUUGUUGUUGUCCUCUUGAAACAUUGUCUCAAUUACGCUACCUGUUAUCAAAAUCCAGAUAACCAUUCAGUACUUUCUAGGUAGAUGUUAUUUUUUUCUUUUUCUAUUUUUUUUUAAAAAGGGACGUUAUGCAGAUUAUCGGCAAGAGUAACAAUAAAUGCAGUAGUAAACAUUUGGAUAUUGAUUUUAGCGGCUCCCAGUAAUCUCUUGUUAUUUCUCAUGUUAACAGGAGAAAAUAUUUUCAUGCUGUCAGAAUACGACCCUAUUUCCCGGUUAUUUGUGUAAGCACAACCUUUGCAUAACCUGAUUGCCUCCUCUUUAAAAGAAGAAGAAGAUAACCCUAACAUACUACAAGGAGGGAUGGUACAUGUAUACAAGUAUUUUUGUUGUUGAUGAAUCCACUUUGCAUUUCCUUGGAUGUGGUUUAAAAUGUGUCGCCUAGGCAGCUCCCUGAAAGAGAGGAGAAGAGAAACAGUCCCUGGUCAAGUGGACCUAACGUUUUCGCAGGGAAAGGGGAUUCCUUGUUUCUAAUUCGGGCACUGCAAUAAUUGAAGGGUGAAGAGGAAGAGGAGAGAGAGCAGCAGUAUCGUAGUCGUGGAGCAGGGGAUGGGGCCAGGCAGGCCAAUGCCGCCGAGAGAGGGGGCCAGGCCAGCAGCAGGCCAGGAGGAGACACAAGCAAGCAAGCAAGAGCAGCAAAGCAAGCAAAAGGCUUAAAGUGGGCUGGGCCAGGCGCCCAAAGGCUGGUGGCGCGGUAAAGCUGAUUCCAGUAACAACAACUGGCGGCUUUGGACAUGAGUUAAUGUGGACUGCUCCGAUGCCCUGUCGCUCUCCUCGGCCCUCCGAAUCAGUUCGCUCUCCGUCGUCUCAUCGACGUCUCGCUCACACACAACGCAGGGAUGAAGGAUUCAUUCAUUCAUUCAUUCAUUCAUAUGGAUGCCCGUGCUCAGUCCUCCUCCUCGUCAGGCUCAGCCCUCCCUGCCACCACAGUAAUUGCCGGCCAUCCCCUGUUCUGAUCACUCCCAGGUCCCAGGAUCAUUGAUCUUUGCAUGGUCUUGUUUCGUUUCUCCACUGCUGAGCGGCGAACGCCCCGGUUCCUGUCAAGCACCAUCUCGGCAGGGAAACGCAAACCCAUCUUUGGCGCAUUUGCAUGUGUUCCAGAUGCUUUUGCAGCUAGCGUCUCCUGCGUCGUCUUCCGUGAAAUUUCGUGCCGUCUGCGCGUUUCCGGUAAUCGUCUUGCGAUUCCAAGUAAGCGCGCGGCAGGCAAGGACGAGUCCGUGAGUCUGGGAUUAUUGGGAAUCCCAGCUGAAGCAACCUGGCAGCAGCGACGACGCACUUGGGGGACUUCCAAGUCGACUGCCUUCUUCUGGUGUACUCCCCCCUCCCAUUCGUGCAUUUUAAGGGUUCAAAAUUUUUCAGGUUCAAAAUUUAUCCCAAAAUAAUCCUCUCCCAAAAUGCAAUGAUUACAUCUUUAAAUGGGUACAAAUAUAAUUUCUUAAUAGAAUAGAUCCCUUCACCAAACUCACCCAAACUUUAAAAGUGCAUUUGUUUUGGUACGGAGGGAGCAAGGACGGACGGACCAAGCGGAACAGAUGCGACACCUGCUGCACAUGGAUUCUAUACUGCUAGUUAACUAGUCCGCAAUAGCGGCAGAACAGGCUGGACAAGUGGUGAUCAGCACCUGUAACACCGAUCGGAAUGGUUGCAAUCUGCAACUGCACGUAUCUGUCCCUACCUAAACAACUAGACGUACACGGAGCAAUUGCUGCCCUGCCACCAUGGUAAUUGCCGCGGUCGCUUCGUCCAUCCAGUCACCCGGCCAUCCCCAUCCCCUGUUCUGAUCACUCCCAGGUGACCAGGUCCCAGCUGGUUCAUUGAUCUUUUGCAUGGUCUUCUUUCGUUUCUCCCCUGCCCGGCCGGCGAACGCCCCGGUUCCUUUGCAACUUUGCAUGUGUUCCAGAUGCUUGCGCAGCUAGCGCCACCUGCGUCGUCUUCCCUGAAAUUCCGUGCCGUGCGUGUGUUUCCGGUAAUCGUCUCGCGAUGAUUCCUUGCGCGCGGCAGAUACGCAAGGGCGACGAAUCCACGGUCCGGGGUUACUAGUCGUCUUCAGCAGCAUCAUUUCUGUCAUUUCUGUGGUAGGGACGUCCAGCUGAAGGCAACUCGCUUUUCUGGUGUAACGACGUUGGACCGACCGAAACAGAUGGGACGCCUAGCUUGCUAUAUGCACAUGAAUUUUAUUCACUGCCAGUUAACUAGUCCGCAAUAGCGCGGCAGCACAUAGGCUGAUCGAACAACUGGCGACCAGAUCAGCAACUGUACUUCGAACGAUUGGUGAUCAGCACCUGUAAUAGCAGCGACCCAAAUGCAUGGUUGCAAGCUGUAAACUCAGCAACUGGAGUAUUUGUAUCAAUGUAUGUCCCUACUAAAACUAAGAUGUGCAAGGAGAAACUCGCGACCGCGCUGAAGUGAUAGAUGCAAUCUUCUGUCUGCCACAGCCCACAGGCCAGUCACUAGCCUGCAAAACGCAUGGUCCAAGUCCAACGCACCCAUCGGCUAGCAAGGAGCGCGCUGCUGCGUGCUUGUUCCCGCGCGGCCGUACGUGCGGGUGCGUGUGCGCCCCAGGCCAGGGCCAGCCGGCUGCCGUGGGCGCGGCGGUCGGCGGCCCGUCUCGGUCACCGGAAGAGACGAUCGAGGCGAGACCCCACGCCGGGCGUCAUUGGUUUGCCGGCAAGUGCGGGGCACUGGUGCGCCGUGCGUGUACAGCUUUCGCGCAUAAAAAGAUGCCAAAUAAUGCUCCAUCGCUCGCUAGGUUAUCAUCAUCGAUCCAUGCACGCUUCCACUCGACGGGACAGGGGACACUUGCUAGUAUCUAUCCAUCAAAUUCAGAGAGUGCUUUAAACCUCGCGUUCCCAGCUCUCCAUCGUGGAUCGGCCGUCGAUGCGUGCAGGCGGGCCCGAGUGCGGCGUGCAAAAGGUCGCCGGGGCGCCGCCGUACGGGCCUGCAGGCCGGUAAAAACUUCCGAACGGGGGCCGGCCGGCCGGCGCAUGCAGUGGGUAUAGGAACAAGCGUCAUGCAUGGCAUGGUAUGCAUGAAGCGUACGUGACAGCGAUGAUCCAUGGCCUAGCACAAUACCAUAACCAGCGGAUCGCCCCCGCGUCGUCCCGAAGAGUGACACGGGAUCCCACCGCCGGUCCUCCACCUCCAUCACUGUUGGUCCCCCUCCCUUCCUACCUCCGGCAUCUCGUCGGAGGCUGGAGGGACUGAGGAUCUAUCCUUCUAAUAGGUUUUAGUAGAUCAAUUUCAUUUAAGGGUUUUAGUUUCUUCAUGCCGCGGUUCAUGGUAUUGGAGAUUUAUUUCCUCCUCCUCUUUUCUGGCAACGGCAAGGAGGUAGGGUGGAUUUGGUCUGUCCAUGGUGACUCCAAUGAAGAUGAUAGCGGCAACUACGGCAUCGGCAACUUCCUUAGCAUGACAACAUGGACAAUUAGGUUUCCGGAUGGUGAUAUCGAGGUGGGGAUGAUGUUGCCAUCGUGGAAUAAUUUUUUCCAACCCCUUCUCCGUUUUGUCAUGGUUAGAUCCAACCACAAUGAAAGGCUUGUAAGAAUAAUUCUGCCCUUUGAGCUAAUGUUGAUCAGUCUUGGGUUGGGUAGAUUGGGAUCAUUUUCUCUUCUUCAUCGGUGGUAGAAAGAGGAAGAAGAAAGAUGCAAGAAGGAAGAAGAAGAUUUUGCUCGGUCCAGCCUACAGGGAUGUUGGUCGUCAUUCUUUGGGCGCUUGUUCUCAGCCUGCUUGCUGAGCGUAUGCCUGUGCGGCCUUCUAUAUGAAUCUUUAUACAUGUUUGAGAUUAAGAUUUGGAGCUGCAUGACGCGUGAGUACAAUAAAGAUGAAGAGCAGUACUUGAUUGUUUUUAAAUGUAAUUUUAUUUUCUUCAAAAGUGUGCGAGAUGAUGAUGUACUCAGCUUUGAUUUAAUACAAUUCUUCCUUUGAUCUUAAAAAAAAAGCAUGGCCUAGCAUAGCAUGUCCUGUGUGCCCGACCCGUUGCUGGACCGAUGGAAUCGACCGGUCCACAGGAAAGCAGCUAGCUGAGAUGGUCCGAUGGACGUCAUGUGACGUGCAUAUCAGCAAUUCAGCAUAUGCACAAAGCGCAACGUGGACGAGACCCAUAACGACAAGCUACAUGGGCGGAAGAAAAGGAAAGCACAGAGGUGGACGCACGCCUGCCGCCGGCCUGGCCUAGCUAGCCAGCGCGACGGCCGGCAAGGCGCUGUUCACCGAUCUACUACGACGCGAACGUACAAUGCGGACCGAUCGAUCGAUCGGUAUCGAAGGCCAGGCCACACACUCCCUCCAACUACCUGCCGCAUAGUGCGCCUAGGCCGCUAGAGUAGCCAGCGCGCUGCAUCGAUGGAUCGGCACUGCUUGGUCCGGGCAGCCGUGGAGCCGGCUGCCUGCCGGCCCUGUUGGCGGCCUGGCCAGCCUUCCCGAAACGGAAAGUGGGCACCGACGCGCAGCUAUCACGGCCGGAGCUGGUUAUUUGCCGCGGUCCAGAUCCAGCGCCAGUGCCCCCGAUGGCGACGUGAGAGCGGGGCGGGGCGCCGCACGGAAAAAGGGGGACGACGCGCGCGGCCCCGGUCCGCGCCAGGCCGGGGACGACGCGACGUGCUUGCUCGCAUGCUUCGGCGCGCGCUCGUCUCCGCUGUGCUUUGCUCCACUGUUUUUUAACGCGGCGUCGUAGGCUCGUAGCGUAGGCGUAGCCGGCCGGAAGGCCCCAGCAGAGCGCAGAGGCGGCCGGCGGCAGGCGAUGAAUUGGUGGUGUCGAGGACACGCCUGCGCCGUGGGCUACCUGUACUGUACGUGCGCGCAGCGCAUGCACGGUUGGAUCUUGUCGGCCGAAUGUUUUUACUGCCGGCCCUUGCAAGUUGCUACCUCAUGCCGUGCGUCAGUGUCUAUAUAUCGUGCAGUAACAGUGGUUGAAGUGCUCCUGCAAGCAACGUACGCCGAUCGACGUACAGUUGGAGUUUACCACCAGUCUGAAUCGUGCGUGCAUGCAUGCACCACAGCGCCAGUGUAUAUGUGUGCCAUGAGCACAAGGGCCCGUGCCGGCAGGGAGACGGGGCCGGGGCCUGGGCCUUGACGGUGGCAAGCGAUCGAUCUGGACGGUGCGACGCGCGCCGUGACGGGCCAGUACUUGUCUGUGUGUUUGCCCCUUCGGGUGAAAGAUAAAUCUCCCUCUUGGCUCUUGGCAAGGGAACGCCGAACGCUCUUCGAACGACACGCCAUGCGUGCAUGGGAGAGAGAGACCCUGGUUGCUCCGGAGCAGGCGCUCUGACGCCGUGCGGAGAGCAUUCCUGUACACGGACAGAUCGUAACCACGAGGAGUUUCCGUGCACGCUUGCACUUUGACCGACGCAAUGCAUGCAGUCUGCGGACUUUGUGUGCGACCGAGGCUGUGGAGCGAGAUAUACACGAGCUGCGACGUCGACGAUGUACGGCGUAACGCGGUCGCUGACUUGGGGUGCUGAUGGCAUGACCGUGAUGGCAGAAGUCGAGGCAAGCAACUAGCUUUGGGCUCCCGUAUCCCGUACAGUGGUAUAGGCACAACUCGCGAAGCCCGUGUCCACGCCUUGACUCGCAACCAAACGAUCGACGACGACGCCUGUUUAGUUAUGAGAGAUGGUGCACGUGCAGUGGUUUGACCCACAAACCUUUCGCAACACCGCACGUAAACGAUAGUCGCCGGGCAUGAGCAUGACGGCACGGACGCAUACGAUACGCGGCCCGCACACAUAUGAUGAGGAGGCUCCUCACGACCUCACCAAUCGGGCUUAUCAAAAAUUCAAAGCCACACGGGAUCCAGACGAGCACGAGCCCGCCGCACUCCUCGCAAGCGGUCACGUCUCACGACGCACGUGAUCGCGGCCGGAGUAAGAAGAUUUGCCCACAAAUUAAAGCGGGCUUUCUCCGGCGUGGUCCGGUGUUCGCUUGGGCUGGACCCAUGUGCGCGGAUUGGAGAAACAGCCCAGCCCAACUUGGAAGGUCUGUCUGCAUCUUGUGGCCGAAUUUUGAUAGUGGGCCGAAUUUUGACUGCCUGGGCUGAAGUAACGGCCUUUUCUUUUAUAACUGGGAGCUAACUUCUUCUCGUUUCACCUAGCCAGAAAACGAGAGCUCCAGGCCCGCCGCCGGCCGCCGCAUCUAUCCUGCGCCGGCUCGCCUCACCUCUACGCGGGGGUUGGGGGUGGGGGGGGGGGGGGGGGGGGGGGGGUGGUGGUGGAAAUCCCCAUGGCGUCCACUGCGCCGGCGCCGAUGACUCCGCAGCUCCGUCUCGCUGCGCGCCUGCUGUCGCUGCUGCUUGUGUACCCCUCGUUCGCGUCUUCACCAACUGCUCCGGAUUCAGACGCCCCGACGCCAAUGCGAGCGUGGACGCUUUAUUUCUUGCACCUGCUGCAAUCCGACUACACUGCGUUCCGGUUCGCGUGAUGGUUCUGGUCCAUCUACUCGCGUACAAGUUCGAUCACAGGUUAGUAAUGCGCGUACUAAAUUUGGCAUGACAUUCUAGGUUCGAAUGGAUAAGGACACUGCCAUAUUGGGGUUUCGCUUUCGCUGAGCUACCAACCUUUUGGCAUACCCCAACACAGUGACUGACAUUAUCUGCAUCUUCCAGUGGAGUCUGCAUGUUUUUUUUUUCCAGUCACAUGCCAUUUAAGUUCAUUUGAUUCUAGGUUGUUGAACCGUCUGUGCACUGUGCGCAACAGCGUAAAGUAUACUUUACUCUGAUCUCUCAAACGAAUUCUCUUGACAGAAAAAUACUGUAUGGUCAGGGUCUGUAGCUGCAUCCCUCGCAAUAAUCAACACAACAAUCAGAUAGGCUACGACACCUGGAGCAGACGAAUGCAGAAUUUAAGAGGAACGAACAAAGGCACCCAAUUUAUUGGAGAACCAAAUGCUGUUGCACGCAACUCUCCUGUCCACCGGCGGCACCGCCGACACUUUAAAGCUCCUCAAUUAUGAAAAUCUAGACCGUGUCAUGCUAAUCUAACCACUCGGCUGGCUCAUCACCGGCUUUGCAAAACUGUGAUUAACCUGUGCAAUGGAGGCUGCCUUUGGGCCCGGGACCCUUGCGGCAGUGACCCAAAACCGAAGCUUUUGCCCAUGGUGAUGCUAAGAUCAGUUUCAGCUUUGCUGUACUUGUGUCAUUUCAAGGGCCUACAAGGACACCUUUAUUUGCCAGGUAGCUCCCACACGGAGAGCUUUGUUCUUAUACCCGCCUCACCUUUUCCGUUUUCUCCCUACCAUCCACCUUUGUGUCCUUGUCCUCAUCUCCCCUUCUCCUCCAUAGGAUGCUGUCACAGGCGCACAGUGAGUGACUCAGCGGCAGCUCAUUGUUGGUGAGCUGCGGCAGAGCCACUCCACUACUCACUGUCACUCGAGGUCAGUUCACCACUUCAUCUAAGCUGCCUUCUUUGAAUCUUUCUUCCUUCCUUCUAUGCUACUCUUGUCCUUUGGAUCUUGUCGGUGUGCGUCGAGUGCGGUGAGUGAGCACGCACUCCAUGUUCCUUGUUUGGUGGUUGUGAAAAUGAUGGGGGAAAUCGGUUGCCUGAUGGAGAACUCAGGGGAAUGGGGGUUUUCAGAUGGUGAUGUUUUUGGCUUAAUUGCUUCAUUGCACUUGCAUGCAUGCCAAAGACCCCGUUAUCGUAGUAGUACUGCUUAACGAUUGACCCUUACGGGUGGCUUUGUAUUCUUGCUUAAUUUUGGGCGAGAUUGUGUUGUACGGUCGUACCAUUGUUCUUCUGCUGAUUUGAAAUAGAGAAUGCUCUUUCGUGGAUAAUAUGUCCACUGUCCAGUGCGUAGAACUUUUUUCCAUUUCUUGCUUGGGCUUCCUCUUCCUUCCGUUCUUUCCUCUUCUCCCUCUCCUCUUGCGGGUAGUUUAGUUCUUUGCCUGAAACAUUGGUGCAGCCAAUUCACAAGCAGCGCUAGAGUCAGAUAGUGACAUGUUGGCCCCAACCUUUAAUCAACUUGACCGCUUUGUUUUGUGCUCCACUGUCCACUGCAUAGACUUUUAAGAUUUGUAUUAGGCUGCUACAAAGAGUAGUAGCGUUUGGUGCGAUUCUUACUGCAUUACAGCUGCAAUUUUGUUUGGAACCAAAUUUAUUCACACUUUAGGAGAAGCAUCUCUUUAUUAUAUGCUAGUGUUUACAGUACCUUCAGCUCUUUUGACUUUCUGGACAACGUACUCGUGUCACAUAAAUGUUUUCAUGUACCUACCAGUAUAGGAAGCUUUAUUCGUUGGGUUGGCCUCACUUUUUAUGGUAAGCUAAAUGCCAGAAAUCGAUCACUUGUGGAGUUCAUGCAGAACCUGAAUUGCUGGCUGAAUUUGUACUAACAAACACUAUUUCAGGAAACUCUGCCAUAUUCCUUAAACAACUAGUCUUUUGCUGUGAGUGGUGUGUACUAAGGGUGGAGCUGAAGUAACCUCAUCCUUUUGUUUCUGUUUUAGUGAGCAUCACUUUCUGUAAUGGAAAAAAAAUCAUAUUCCAGUUGUAAAGAAACUGUUAACUAUGACACGUGGUUUAGGUAAUGAGAACGAUGAUCAUCUAACUAGUAAAGGUAAUGGAUAAGUUGUCUUCCAAGGUUGUUUCUUAACAAAAUGCAAAACAGUGAUGGAAUCAAAUAUGUAAUAUGGAUGAAGGAUAUUAUGUACAAUAGAUUAAACAACAUCAGAUAUGCAGUCCCCUUUUACACUGAAGAGAUACAGUUUCUACAAUUGAAUGUACAAAGAUGACUUGAUGAUAGUUGAAGUUGAUAUGUAUCAUGUGGUAUUUAUCUUGCCACUGGAAGCCCUAGCAGAUAUUCUUCCUGUAUCCACCCUUAAACAUUUUUUCAUCUGUCUUUUUAUGCCCAGGAACAUUGUUGAAUACUGAUCGAAAUUAAGCUUUCAUUGAUGGAUCAUAAGGCAUGGCUUUGGAGAAAGAAAUCAUCAGAGAGGGAGCUGGAGGUACAUCAUCUGUACUUUUUAAAUUAAGGAGUUUAUAUAAAAAUUUCAGAUUUUUUAUCUGAAACUUCAUUUUUUCCAUGCAGAAGGAGAAGGUUCUAUUGUUAGAGAAAUCCUUGCAAGAUUUAAAUGAACAACUUUCAUUUGCUCAUUCUGAGUGUGUUGAGAAGGAUGCUAUUUUAGCCAAACAGGCAAAAGUAGCUGAAGAAGCCAUAUUAGGUAUUAAUGUACUCAUUUGACUAUUAUUGCCUCACAUUUUCUUGUAUCAUAGGAUAUGUGCUAUUUGCUGGAAAUUCUUUUUUUUACAUUGUUUGUAUUGCUAACGAACACUAGGUUGGGAAAAAGCGGAGGCUGAGGCACUACUUCUCAAGACACAACUUGAUGAUACACUGGAUGAUAAAACUGCAAUUGAGCAAAGGAUUUGCCAACUUGACGAGGCUUUAAAUGUUGCAAUGGUAGAGAGGGACUCGUUAAUAAAGGAAACAGCUCAAAUGAUUUCAUGUGAACAAGACAAAGUUCAGAAGCUGGAAGAAAGUUUAGUGGAAAAAAUAAACAUAAUUGCUAACUUAGAUGCCGAGAAUGACAAACUUUCUGAAAUUGUCAGUGUUAAAGAGAACAUGAUCUCAGAGCUAAUUGAAUCGAAGGGACUAACAGAAUCAAACCUCAAGGACCUUGCAAGGAAGCUAGAGUCAGCCGAAAGAACAAAUUCUUCACUUAGAUAUGAGGUUUGCAUGCUGCAGAAGCAACUUGAGAUUCGAAGCGAAGAGAGGAAAUUUAGUCUCAAAUCUGCUGAUGCUGCACACAAACAGCAUCUUGAGAAUGUAAAGAAGAUAACCAAACUUGAAUCAGAAUGCCAGAGACUGCGUUCAAUGGUACGCAAACGAUUACCAGGUCCUGCUGCCAUUGCAAAAAUGAGAAGUGAAGUUGAAACAGUGGGCAGUGAUACAACGACCACAAGGAUGAGAAAGUUAAAUUCAGCGGCAUCACAGAACUCAUGUGUUUCGGUACAGAACUCUCAUGAUGCAUUGCAUGGAAAUUCGCCGUUGCUUGCAAGGCUACAUGCAAUUGAAGAUGAAAAUAAGGCCAUAAAGGAAUCUCUUUCUAGAAAGGAUGGUGAACUUCAGUUUUCUCGGACUAUGCUUGCCCGCACAACUUCCAAACUUUCCCAAGUUGAAGCCCAGCUUGAAGAGUUAUCAAGAGGCCGGGCUGGUGCUGAAUUGGUUAAAGGUAGCCCUACAGUGGUGGAAAACCCUCUUUCAUCUAUCUCUGAGAAUGGCUGCAAUGAAGAUAAUGUUAGCUGUUCAGGCUCAUGGGCAUCAGCCUUGUUGUCUGAACUGGAACACUUCAAGAAGGGGAAGCCCACAGCACAUUCUAGUAAGAGCACAGCACUAUCAGACAUGAGUUUCAUGGAUGACUUUGCAGAAAUAGAAAAGUUAGCGUCGGGAUGUAAUGAUAAACCUCUGGAACCAUAUGUUUCAAAGAAAGAGGUCACAGAGUCAUCUGGAAAAGAGCUAGUUCCAGUUGAUGUCUCUGCUGGAACAACUGACCAAAUUCACCAACCUAAGAUUGAGAAGGCUGUCCUGAAGUUAAUUGAACUUAUUGAGGGAGUUAUCCAGAAAUCAUCAAAGGACUGUAGUAAGACAGUUGUGCUAUCUGGCGGAGAAGAGAAUAAUGGCCAAGAAAUGCUAUCAGGCUAUGUUGCCCGUGCUUUCUUGUGGAAUAUAUCAGAACUUACUUCUGUACUGCAAAACUUUGUCUUCGUGUGCAACGAGCUUCUGUAUGGGAGUACUGAUGUUGAAAGCUUUGUUCAUGACCUCCAACUCACAUUGGAUUGGAUAAUCAACCACUGCUUCUCACUUCGAGAUGUAUCAGACAUGAAGGAAGCUAUCAUGAAGCAUUUGGAAUUAAACAACAGUGAUGGACUUGAAAUUGUUGCGGUAACUGGGCACACAGGAAUCCAUACAUCAGAUGAACCUAGAACGGCGGAGAAUGCUCAGACAUCUAUAUUGUCUGACUCAGGCUGUAUAAAUAUGGGAUCUAAAGAUGAUGUUAGCACACAGAAGACAAGUAAUGAAGUGGCAGUCUCUAAAUUUCAGGGGAUAGAAGAAAAGGCUUCACAUUUGCGGGCAGAACUUAAUGAGUUGAAGGAAUCUGGAAAAAUAACAGCACAUGUUGAUGGUAAAUUGACAAUGAAUGAAUGUAGCACACGUGAAUCCAUCUUCACGUCUGGACUGAAUAAGGGCAAACAAGAGGGGAUUAGUUGUCCUGAAUCCAAGCAUCAACUUGAGUGGUAUUUCUUUUUCAUCCUUGUCCUUCCAUGGUUGAUAAUAUUCAGUGUUUUGUCUAACAAAAGUUAUUUGCUUGCAGUUGCUCUGCUAAAGAAGGCUCAAAAAAUGUUGCUGACAAUGAAGAGAAACAUCUGCAGAUGGUGAGAUCUUUAUCGAUCUUUCUUGUCCUUAUCAUUUCCCAGAAAGAAAUGGACAUUGGAUUUGUAUAUUUUCAAUCAAGUUUCUGUACUGUGAUGAAGCACAUUCUAUAUUUUCAAAUUGGUUCAGCUGUAAAACUGAGCAGUAUAAUCUACAUUUUCUUUUUCCACCAGGAAAGCUGCUUUUCUUUGUUUAAAUGAGUAACUGAACCUUAAACCAAUGCACGUUUUCUCUGCCCAAAUUACUAACUGAACCUUAAAUCCUUUGGGUCACAGCAGCUGGAGAUCUCAACAGCAUCAGAGAAGUUGAUUGAGUGCAGGGAGACAAUCCUAAACCUGGGAAAACAGCUGAAGGCGCUGGCAUCUCCAAAGGACGCGAUCCUCUUCGACCAGGUGCUCCAGACCGCAGCUCGGUCAGAGCGAAAACCCCGAUCGCAAUCACUAAGCGAGAUGCUAUCUAUGGAGGAUGGCGGAUUCUAUGUCCCAAGCUCCCCGAAAACCAAGGAGAUCAUCUGCACUGAACCAAGGGCUUCAACUGAAAGAAACCUCUCUGCCGACGAGGGAGAUGAUGGUUCCGCCGCAGCAUGCAGUUCCUCGCACCCUAUGCCAGUGGCACAACCCGUAAAACAGGCUUGCAGGGUGAACGGAACCUGCAAGGGCGAAGCUGAUGUGAAGGUGGUAACACUUGCCGUUGUCCCGAGGAAGCAGAAGGGGAACGGCAGCUUGCUGAAGAGGAUAAUGACGGGGAGGAGGAAGGAGGCCAAUGCCAUGGCCAAGCCACAGGUGGUGCUGAGUUCUUAGCUGACAGAGAAGGAUGGGAGCCUCGGACAUGGCGAGUCUUUGUUUCAGGUGUAAAUUAAGUGUGUGCGUUUGUGUGUGGAUCGGAGCCGUGUUCAGGUGAGGUUAGUAAUAAAGGUGCACUGUGUUGUGUAUAGGCUGUAUGGAUUAGUAUGGUAUGUGACGUAGUGCUACUCAUCGUGACCCUGAAGGCGGUUUACCUGCUUGUGUGUUCUGGGAAGGUUGUUGUACCUGCGUUGAACUUUGAUAAUGGCUAGUGGUUUAUCUGCAUGUGUUUGUGUGCUUCCUCUGUGAUAAAAGAACCUUGUUCUGAAAGACAACAGAUGCCUGAUUGAGAUUUUGUUUCCGAACUUGCUCAUAUACAAUGCAGUGAACUUACUCUGUGAUAAAAGAACCUUACUGUCACAGUUUGUAGUUUGGGUCGAAUACUAUGGUGGAGCACCCUGACGCUCCCAGAGAAUACAACUUGGCAUUGCUACAUCAUUUCAAACCAAAUUGUAACCUUAGUAUUGUAGUUAGGACGUCUGCUUUGCUGUCAGAAGCAGGCGAACAAAAGCAGGGACAUACUAGCAUUUCGCCUGUUAGAACACAGGCCUCUACAUUCCCUGUAGUAAAAGCGAACGCCCGUGGCCCGAUGCCCCCCGGCCGAGCUGAAGCGGAGCAGCCUCCUGCGCGGUGGCCCAUGGUCGGCAGCGGCACCCAACGAGACGGGCACGGGUUACCACGGCACCACCAGCGCAAGCCGCCGCAGUGCCGCGCGCGGCCGGCCAGCGGCCACCUCCCCGGCCCCCGCCUGUGCCGCUGCCGCUUGCGCCUGCGCCUGCGCCUGCGCGCGUCGUUUUCCAAGCGCACGUCGAGUCCGUGCGCGCCUUUGCAAAAGGCCGCGACUGACUGCGGGGUAGUCUCGGUAAAGAGCGACAUAAGCGCACCCCGUUCGCAUCGCAUGCACGCGCCCCUCUUCUUCCUUCAUCUCAGCUCGCGCCCGCGCCGUCCCGUCCCCUCGACCCCUCCUCGCCUCCUCCUCUCCCCGGCCGCCCGCUGCGCCGCGGGUCCGCCGGUUGCUGGCCGGGGGCCGGGGCGUGCGUGGGCUCCCCCGGCGGUUGGAAACGUACGGGCCCCGGCCAGUGACGCCAUGCCAUGCCGCGCCUGCCUGCUGGGACUUUACUUGGGUUCGAUCAGCUGAUCGUCUUUUUUUCAGCGUGCGAUGGCCUGGCCCAGCCUGAUGCCCCCUGACGCCGUGUCUCCCAACGGUUUCCCCACACCCUUUCCGCUCGUCGGCCUGGAAACAAGUUCUGCAUGCCACGACGGGGCGUUCCAUACUUUCACGAUCGGCCGGGAUUAUCUGCUCUUGUCCGCGUAUUCUGUUCUUCAUUCACGUGACCUGCACGGCAGAGAGAUACUACGUACGGCGCAGUGUACGCCUUGGCUCAACACACACACACACACCUUUACCGCUUUUACAUUCCUCGCAAAGGCAUGGGGCGUACGCAGCAGCUCCAGCUCUGGUCAUUUCUCUCGCUGCUGCUAUUCGUACUCGUACAGGCUCAUGCUGUGUUUCAGAUACACUGCACGGCGUACGAAGCCCCCGACCAAGUCAGUAUGAUUGGCGUCAGAGAGCAUGUUUCAUAUGCAAUUAUCACCAUGAUGUCAUCGGUACAUGUUUAAAGCGGAGCCGAGGAAGAAUGUAUAAAGCUGGAGCGGAAGGCCUCCGUCAGGCCUGGGUAUAAUUGCCUCAUAAAGCCUGAACUUGCGUCGCCUACAAGCUUAUACAGAAAUCAUUUGCAGCGCGGAAAGGAUCGAUCAGUCUCGCCUGAAACUUUCUUGCAUGGCCUUAUAAGUGUCGUGUAAGCAAUGCAUUUACAUACACACCUUGUUUAUUUUUUUUUGUAUGGUCAAUUAAAUGAGUAGUGUUAGUGUCAUGCAAGUUCGUAGUGUUUGUUUUUCUGUUCUCUUGACAAAGUGCUUGUCAUGCAUGAUAGCGCUUAUCAACUCAACUCUGGCCUUACCCGACAUGCUUAUCGUGUGAACGCUACAAUGUAGGGUCUACAAACCCUGCUAAAUGGGGUGCUCUGUGUCAUUGUGCGCCUCUUUAUGCAACACGCGGGCGGAUUACAUGCACUUUCUUCCACGCGUUCAUAUAUACUUAGCUUGAUGCAGCUUAACAAUCAUAGUGAAACCCUAAUAUCGUGGACUAGUGUCUUCUGUACUAUGAUGCUGUUGCUGCGCCAACCAAAGCUCUAGUAGUGAUUUUGUUUUAGCUGGCAUGGUAGCAGUCAAUUGGAUUGUCAGAGUAUACUACAAGCCGUAUAUAGCUACCUUGCCUUUGUCUCAUUGUGAUCUCAAACAUGCAGUAGCCUGACCAAAUUAAGUAUUGGGUAACUGGUAACUUUUGACCACUCACGGUGACAACAAAGGAUACGCAGGUUUAAGCAAUCCAAGCAUGUCCAUACUAGAAUACAAAGCACACGUGGAUGCGACGACUAGAGUUUUCACGACGACUAAACCAAUCCAGGAGACCAUUCAUGCAUCUUGCAAGAAGACACAUCGAUCGAGCUUGCUUGCACAUACGCGAGGCCUGUUAGUUAAUUAGCUUUGAUUUCCCCUGAUCAGGACGCAACGGGAAGAGCUCCAGGGUCACAUCGUCCGUGCAGUCGGCUACUACCUCCGUCGCCGGCGCGGCAUCGCCAUGGACGUCGUCACCCCAGGUCCUGCACCUCCGCUUGCGGCUGGAUGCAUCUUCACAUGAUGCUUCCUCCUCCUUCCCUACUCCAACCUGCGGAUAUACGAUCAUGGAGAUCAAUAAGUAACUCAUCAAGCACAUUCUGACAUUCAUGUGUGGAAGUGGAAGGAUACUGUUCACUGCAUCUAUAUGUGCAUAUAUUCAUGUAUGGCUGCCAUUGAUCAUUACUUUGGUUUCAGGUGAUGGUAGAGAUGAAGUGGUGCUGAGGGUGAGGAGAGCUGCGCGCUUCUGCUUCUGCCGCUCGCGGGCCUUGUGGUUCUGGAACCAGUAGAACACGUUCUUGCCCUCGAUCCGGCCAUACUUGCCGAGCUCCUCCGUGAUCUGCUCGAUCUGGAACGAGUUGGGCGUGCGCAUCCCGCCGCGGUACAGCAUCUCCAGCACCUUUAUCUGAUCUGGCGACGGGUUCCAUCGUGUCGUGCCACCCGUCGGCACUUGCACCUGCAGCUUGCACAGUACAAAGAUCAUCAGUUAGGUCGUCAUCAAGUCAGCGACCACCUACGUACCUUGUUACUACUGCUAGUACAAAUAAGUAAUAACGAGUGUUUAUUUGGUUUCUAACCGUGCAGUUGAGCAGCCUCGAAGCAUUUCUGACGCGGGAAAACUCGGGAAGGACGACCAUCUUCCUCGCCUCAGGGAACGAGAUCUUCGGCGCAAGUGGGCGCAAGCAUUGCAGGGCCAAGGGGAUGGCAGAUGAGCUGAGAGACUGGGAGAUGGAUGGUGGAGACGACGACGGCGAGGCCGCUUUGUCCAAGUAAGCCACAUGGAAAUGGUGAAGCCUCAUGUUUAUAAACUUUGCAGUUUUCAAAACUUGUGUGUGGAUGUAGACGGAGUAUAUGUAAAUGGAAAGUUGGGGAGCUAGGGCUAGGUGAGAAAGAGUCCCAGCGUCCUUGCGUGUGUUUAUAUAUGGGGAGACCGGAGGCGAUCGAUAGGUAAAGGGCGGCGAGGGUUUUGAGUGUGUUUGUGCGCGAGAUCGAGGUAACAGUCGAAAGGCGUGCUCUCAUGUGGGGCGACAGGGAAUGUGGAGAUUGCUGGAGGGAGGGCGUCAGCAUUGGUGAAUCGCAAUCAUCAUCAGGGAGCCACGAAAAGCAGGCGCAGUAAUAAAGGUGAAAAGGUAAAAAUUCUCGCAUGGAGCUCUCUUUCUUUUCACCUUUCUUGUCGAAAUUCAUGGCGAUUGACAAGGAAUAUAUGAGGGAGAAUGUCGAUUCUACUUCUCUGUACGUUUGCAUGCUGUUAAAGGUAGUUUGAAUCUAUCCUAGCUAGAUCAGUAAACCUUCACCUAGAUUGUUUAAUUUGCAGUGUUAUUAUUAGAUCGAGCGAUAGUUUUUCUCUCUCCCUCAAAACUAAUUAAAAUGGACAUUUCACUGCUGAUCAGAGCACAGCUAGAAAGUUCCAUGCUACCAGAUCGGAGUUCAGUAAUCUUUAUGCAUGUAUAUGUACUUAUUGUGAUGCCCUGAUCAGUGUGCUUAACUGCUUGAUUGUGAGCUAUUCAUGCAGUAGAUAUAUUUUGUAAAUUUUGAAGGAACGACCAAGUAACUUAGCAACCUUCUACCAGUUAAUUUUCACCUGACAAUUAGUCAAUUACUAACCUUAUGCGUGUAUAUAUCUUCAUCUGACAAUUAAGCAUCUGCACGAUCGGAGUUCAUUAACCGUACGCGUGUAUAUGUAUAUACGCACCUUGUAAUGCCCUGUUCUGGAUGUUUAUCAACUGCUUGUCAUGCAGUUGAUCGAGUAGUAAUUUGUAAGUUUGAGGUUGUAUAUGUAUAUACAUCUGCAUGAUUAUUGUUGCACAUCAUCAUAAACCAAAUAAAGGCCAGCAAAAAGAGACGCGUAUCCUUCAUUCCUUCUCCACCAUCUGUAAGAUUGGUUUCUGCCAUGCCUAUGCGUAGUACGUGUAGCUACCCAUAGAAGCCUACCAAGAGUAGACCAUCACCAUCUAAAACCCCCGUCUCCAUAUCAGCCCAGGCCGCCAUCAGUGAAGCUGCAACAUGCAUGCUAAUCUAUGAUUGGAAAAGGCAUUGAUAUGCAGAGGAAAGCAAGAACCAGCAUGAUGGGUGGUGAGGUUGACCUCGGAGUUAGCGCCGCCACCCGCCGUUGAACCUGGAACAGGAUACUGCACAUGAACAGCUAGCCUCGAUCGCUUUCCUGAUCAUUAAACGAGGCUGAAUCAAGAAGCAACAUGCAGGUGGUGAGGGAGAAGAAGAAGCCCAUUCCUAGCUAAUGACACAUCGCUGUCACGCACAUCAUUCUCGGGAGAAAGUUGCCGGCCGGGUACACCCAGGAAAACGAGGCGCAUGCAUGCUUUGCUUUGCUUCUUCCGUAGUUCCAUGCGAAAUACAGUAGCAUAAUUUUACAGGUCGAUCUCAGUGCAAUCACAACUAGUAGUUGAUCGAUCUUGCAUCUGCAUGCGUGCAUGGGCUAGCUGGUCCUGGCAUCGGAGCGAGAUCGAUCAGUCGGGGUAAGCUAGCUGCUUUGUUGUUGUACUACCAGCAAGCAACGCCUGCAGCGAGUGUCACACACGCAAUGGCACACCGAUACAGCAUGCAGUGUCGGGGGGCCGUCAAAUCGGUCGGGCUUUUACUCCCCAGUAAUCAUGGUAUAACAAAGAGGAAGAGGCCCCCUGACUGACUUUCCGGUGAAAUUAGGCCAGGGAGUGAGUGAGCCAGGCAUGCAUGGGGAUUAUUAACGCAUGCAUGCGUAUGUGUAUGGAUGUACGCCUGCUAUCUGUGUGCAUACGGCGUGGGAUUAAGUGAAAAGAGAUCGUGGCAAUCCCGAUAAAGCGGUGAAAUGCCAAAAGCCCGGAAAAGGGAAAAGCUAAAACGAGCGAGCAGCAGCGUCAAGCCGGCGGGCUGACGUGCAAGACGUACGGUGUGUGGUCUGCGGCGUGCCGCGCGAGUGGAGAGGGGACGCGCCGUGGUGGGGAUGACGUGCGUGCGAGCAAAGCGUGCUCUUCUGUCUUCUCUGCAUCCCCUCCUUCCAUCCGAAUGCCACUCUCAAUCUCUACGGCGACAUGAUCUCCUCCAUCAAUAUAAUCGCUCGCUAGCAGCCACCGUCUCAACCAAUGCCCAGCAGCAGGAAGAAAAUUCAGUGGGGACGGUCCCCAAAGUUUCUUCCACACCAGAUGGCCGACGCGUGGGAAAGGCUCUCAGCGAUUCAGCUCGGCUCCCUCCAAGGCUAACGUGCAGCUUGGCUCCCUCGUCUCCUGAUCAUUUGAUGGCGAUUUGCAGCCGAUGAUCCAAGAGGGGAGACCAAUUCAAGACGACUGGUUUUGAUCCAGGGGGCGGCCCGCCAACAAAAAUUCACGCACGCACGGAGCACGGUUCGACUUUUCCCUUUUUGUUUGCGUGUGAUUUUCAUUGUUGCCGUUUGUUUAUGUACUUUUUGUACCCUGCGAAGAAAAUGCUAUCACUGUCGUCGAUGGCCUGUGUUGUUUACAGGCAAGGCAUGCUGCUCGGAAUGGCAAAAAGUGAUGUGCUGCAUGGGAAAGGAAAUGAAUGCUACUCCAGUUUAAUUUGCGUCAUGCUUAUGUUUGGAAGUGGGUUGCCUGUAAGGCUAUAUGUGGAUGUUUUUAAUGCAUAUGUACAUUGACAUCGCAGGCUCAUCUUUUUUACAGUUACGUGUGCGGUGGAUGACAACAGAUUCACAAAACAAGAUUCUACUAACUGGAAACAUGAACCAAAUAUGCAUCUGACAUGGGAGAAGUCUAUCUUCAACAUAACAUGAAGCGGCAGAUAACAUUAUGCCACAAGGGUCCCCUGCUGAAGUAAAGGACCUGCUUAGGAACUAGAUUACUCCUAUGUCUCUGUUCCAAAAUGCACCAUCAAACAUCGGUGUCCAUACUUCUGAAAUAUGUGGACUGAAAAUGAUUCUCGCUGAAAGAAGAUUCAUGUUACCAAAUCAAUGUUCAAUGUUUACUGAAUGCGCUGCAAUUUUGAUAAAUGGCAGAUACUCAUUCAGAGCAGCAGAUGUAGAUAUAAAUGAUCAUGCAGUACAGAGCAGCAGCUGGGAUUCUCUUCCUUUCCAUCUUCUCUCCUCCCUGCAGUAGAGUCAGAUAAUGUUCAUAGGAUUAUAUUCAUUUUGCAGAAGCAUAACUGUGUUACAAAAACGAGUGCAGAUGAAAGAAAAUGCAGGGCAAGUUGAAGCAGUGAAGAUGCUUACAGUGAUUGUUUCUUCAGAAACCGAGACUUGAGGUGUUCUUUUGUCAAAUGCUUGCUUUGUGUGGUGGCAUUCAGAAUUUCAGAUCAUGCCGUCCAUUGGUGUACCACUUGAGCAUAGGCUUGGAAUCCUGUUCUGAUACAUUCUUGCAGAAGCUUUCUGGAGAUCGCUAUGCACUCUGACUGGCCGGCCAAGCUAUAUGGGCAGCUGGUCAGCGAGAUCCAUGAGCAGGCUCAGUUGUGGUGCAACGCUGGCGCCAAGCAUUUGUCUCUUCUUGGCUGGCCGGCGGCAGUAGGCCUGCUAGCUACUUAAUUUCUCUUUUCAUCCUUUCCUGGUGGUUGUUGUGUGUUUUCUCUAAGUACAACAUUUAGAUAAGUUGAUCCGUGUGAUUGUGCCCAGUCGGCCCGCGUUGUAACUCUUAAUACAAAGAUACACAGCUCUCCUAUGUAUCCUCGAAAAAAAAAGAAGCUAUGCACUCUGACAUAGGAAUGCUACGCUAUGCAGUCUGACAGAGGAAUGCUAUGUUCACAGCCAGGUGAAGAAUCUCUACUUUCUGAUCUACAUAGGCAUGGAGGAGUACCGCACAACUACACAAUCAUGCCAGGUUCAGGCCAAUCUCAGCUUGUGGAGCAAAAGAAAUAUCGGCAGUUUUUUGGCAGCACAAAUUUGAUCUCAUAGUGUUCAGAAAAAGAAUACGUGAUACACGCGAACGUGCCAGAUGUCUCAAAGUUGGUACGGACAUAAAGCUAUUCAUAGCCAAGCAGGAAACCUUCCCUAUCAAAGAGAUUCUAACUGCCAAUCCAGGAAAAGUUUGAGCAACGAUAAUGGUUGGACAUACUACCAGAAACAUGCAUAUUGUUGGAGAUGCAAAGAAGCACAAUGGUUGGUUUAAGUAUCUGAACCCACAAAUAUGUCGCACGGGCAUGACAGCUUUUUGUUGCAACACUCUUAUCCUGAGUCGUUUCAGAUGUUCAAUUGUGGAUUCAUUCUGAAAGUGGAGAGUUGCGCGAUCAGGCCAGCUUCGAGAUAGCUCCAACAUGUGCAACGAAGUAAAUACCAACUGGUAUACUGUAGAGGCAGCGAACAAGAAAUUUCACUGUAUUCAGAAACCCAAUAGCCUGAUGUGCCUGUGAUACAUCAGCACUCAGGACAAUAAGCAGAUUUGUCAAAGUUGAUUCUAUCAGGAUAUGCUUGUGGUGGAAAUGUAACUGAUAAAUCUGUAAGUACUUCAGAUUGAGGAACUUGUCAGCUGCCAUAGGUGUAUUAAACGUAGACUAUUUACAAAACCCAUUACAUAAGUGGAGGCUAAACAACAAGACGAAUCUAUUAAGCCUAAUUAAUCCAUCAUUAGCAAAUGUUUACUGUAGCAACACAUUGUCAAAUUAUGGACUAAUUAGGCUUAAUAGAUUCGUAUCGUCGUUUAGCCUCCACUUAUGUAAUGGGUUUUGUAAAUAGUCUACGUUUAAUACUCCUAAUUAGUAUCUAAACAUUCGAUGUGACAGGUGCUAAGUCAGUGGAAGCAAACGGGUAUAUUCCAGGGCAUGACUACUGUUACAUCAUAACAAUGGUCCAGUGAGAGUGAAGGCAUAAGAUUCUGUAAAACAUGGCAUCUAGGUGUAUAUUUCUACUCGAUUCAUGGAAUAGCACAAAAUCUCACUUCAUUUAGCUAUUGUGGAUGCAAAUUUGUAGCCCUGAAUGUCGCCGCAAUAAACACCAUGUAAGUUCGCUACACUAACAGGCCACAGCUUAAGAGAAAUGAUUUCUUUCAUGCCUAAAACAAGGCAUGAAACGUGGAGAUGACCAGCAGGCAGCACUGCAGCAGCGAUUCUAGCACAGAAUACAAUACUGACCAACAAGGCAUGUAUAUUGGCGUGCAUUCAGUGGAAGAGAAGAACAGCACAGUAUGUCAAAUCUAAAACAAAUGCAGUAACAGCAGGUGCAGAAGCAAUGGAACUGGAAGAGCAACAGAAUCUUCAGACAUCAGAAUUUCCAUUCGAAUCUAAAACAGAGGGCAAUAUCAGCAGGCAGGUGAGGCUAUUGAGAAACCAAACACAAAACAAGGAGCAAGAUUCAGAUAUACCUGCGGAGGGUUAGUAUUAAUUAAUUUUGAAGUCUCCGCAGCAGUACUGAAACAAUCCUCUGAGAAGGGGGUUCACAAACCAAAUUCAAAUCAUGCAGGGAGGAGAUCAACAGUGCAUGCAAUCGCAGAGAAAUCAGAUGCAGAACCAAGGGGAAAAGAGGUAAGUCAAUUCACCAGAUUAUGAUUUCACAGAAGAUCAGGCACAAAUUCAAUUCCACUGUUGCAUUAACAUCUAUGGGGACAUCAUUUGACCACAGUAGGACACGUUUGACACCUGGGAACAUCCUCUCCCUGCAUUACCUUUUGUUAUCUUCUAGAAGUAUUGACAGACAAAAACACCUCUCUACAUCAUUAUGGUAACUAUUCUCAACCCAACACAACCCUUUCUAAGCGAAGUAUCGACAGGUCUAAGACCACAACCCUUACCAAGCAUGUAAUCCCCCACCCCCUCAACAGAACAGCCCCUACUCCUCUAGUUUAUGUCGAUGUCGAGAGGUGUCUCCUGAUUGUAGGUGUCCGCGCAGUACUUCCUCGCGUUGCACAGCUUGAAGUGGUUCUGGCUGCGGAACUUGUUCGCUGCCUUGACCAGCUCCUCGCCGAGCAGUUUCGUGGCCUCGAGCUGGCUCCCCAUGAGAUCGUCCCUAAAACCCUCCAGCUUGUUGGUGAGGUGGCGUAUCUUGGCGUCGCGGGUGUUGUUGGAGAACUCGAGGACAAUGAUCGUCGCCAUGAUCAAGCUGCUCUGCAAUAUGAAGGAGACGAAGAACUGGACCAUCAGCGCUAAAGCUCUUGAUCCCCAUUGCCACCACGGUGCAGAAGCGAGCAUGAUCGUCUGCGAACUCAUCCCCUUCUACAACCCCGAGACCGACAUCGGGCUUCAGACGAUCAUGCUCGCCUUCGGCACCGUAGCAGCGAUGGGGAUCAGGAGCGUCCCCUGUUCCGGGAGCAGAGGAAGUUACACCUCCGCCUUCCCCAGCGGGAGGAUCCCCUAUUCCGGGAGCAGGGAAAGAAGCAGGCGGAGGAGAUAGGCAGGCGGGAGGAGACGGCACACCGGCUACACUGGCCGAGGGGGUGCAGUACGUCACGCCGCCGCCUGUGAUCUCGCCGCACCUCGAUGCCAGCUAUGAUGGGGAACCCCUCCGAUUCUGGUCGCUGGAAGAUUACAUCGGCGGCACGGAAGCUCCAGGUUUGGCGGCGCGCGAGCUGGGAGAACAUCAGCUGCACCUGGGCAGCGCAGAAGAGCCACCCACGUUCAAGGAGGCAGAACAAGACCGACGGUGGCGGCGGGCGAUGACUGAGGAGAUGGCCUCCAUCGAGGAGAACCAGACUUGGACACUCGUUGAUCCGCCGGCAAAUUUCCAGCCGAUUGGACUGAAAUGGGUGUUCAAGGUCAAGCACGACGAGCAAGGCAAUGUCGUGAGGCACAAGGCACGGCUGGUGGCCAAAGGAUUCGUGCAGCGCGAGGGAAUCAACUUCGAGGAAGUGUUUGCCCCGGUGGCGCGCAUGGAAUCCGCGCGCCUGUUGUUGGCUCUAGUGGCGACGCGGAACUGGGAGGUCCAUCACAUGGACGUGAAAUCCGUGUUCCUCAACGGCGAGGUACCGCGGGCCUGGAACAUCAAGCUGGACAGGCUCCGCAGGCCUGGAACAUCAAGCUGGACGAAUGAGCCAUUUCUGUCAAGUUCUGCACAAGAUGGGCUCACUUAAGCAGCAAAUGGGCAUGGUGGAUUGAUCUGAGUUCAAUAGCUGCCCAACGAGCUGCAAUUGAAUGAGAAGCUCUAAAUGAUUCUCUCAAAAUUCUGGCUGUAAACAUAUAUAGCUAAUGUUUCUAUUAGGGUGCGAUGUUUUGUAAAUUAUUGUACAGUAGUCGAACCAAUGUUAUCGCUCAUAUAUAUAUAUAUGCCCGGUCAAUAUAGGUUAUAUUAUGUACUACCAUGUGGUAGAUCCAAGGGCAUUUGAUUAAACAAAUUAAGCACCAUUUUUUACAGUAAGUGGAUUACGCCAUUGUGGUACAUGGUAAAAUGGUACUGUGAUAACUCCAUGACGUCACUAUGGUAAUUACAUGAUCUUUAUUUGGUAUGCACUACUAAUGCACAUUUCCUAAUUCUUCACAAGUAUGGAUCAUGCAAGCACAUUGCUCAGUGUAUUUACCUAAAUAAGCAGUAUUGUAACUAUUUCAUAGUAAUUUGGUCACAGCAUUAUAGUACCAGGUCCUUAGACGUGAUUACUGUCAAACUGUGGUAAGUUGGUAACUCGUCUUCCUAACUUUCAUUGUAUAUUGGUCCCAAAUUAUACUAACCAGGUCCUUGUAAUUACUUGCCGCCUAACUGUUGUAACUCCCGGCGUUGAUUACGUCCGGCUCCCGGCGUUGAUUAGGGGACAUGCUCACGCCUGGAAGCCAGAAUCCCAGACGCACCGCGCGGGUUGGAUCGAUAUCACGCUGGGUACGUGCGGUUGGAUCACGUGGACACAAAAUAACUUAUUCUAUAGCUGGCUACAAAGUAUCCUUUCCCUAAACAAUUAAAAGUUAUGACAACCUAUGCAAUGAUGCAUAGUUAUUUAUUGGACUCGACCCUCACACACAUGCAGCUAAAGAAAGCACUCAGAUUAGCCUAAAACUUAAUAGUUAUGCAACACUGCAGAAUGGUCAAAUAUUGGAAAGUCAAGGUAACUUAACAUCUAUAGCAUGGCACCGACUGCAAGGCUCCCAAACAU
rnacentral:lncRNA from 1 species